UCUGCUUCAGCCUCCAGCACAAGCGAAACACAGGCAGCACUUUCAUUUUAUGAUUUGUCUAUCCACAUACAUGACCGACUGCCAUAGAGUAGACCAACAGUCCAACGUACUCAUGUUGUUGCUCGACAAGCUGUCCAAGCUGCUGCUUGAUAUGAACUGAAAGUGCUGAACUUUGUCCAUGUUAUGUUGGUAGUAUAUCUAAUACUGAACUUCAGAGUAGAACAACAGUCCAACGUGCUCAUGUUGUUGCUCGACAAGCAGUCCAAGCUGCUGCUUGAUAUGAACUGAAAGUGCUGAAUUUUCUCCCGUGUAUGUUCUGUGUUACUGUGUAUCAAAUACUGAAUGGUGUGCAGGGUGAUCCUGCAUCCUGGAAUGGCACGGUCUUGUGCAGAGGUCUCAUUGUUGUUGACCUGUUUCUUCAAAACUGCAUGUGCAGCAACAUUUUCUCCUGGCAGUGCUGCAAUGGAAUUGAAAAGAAUGGUGAUUGUUAUAGUAUAAUUGUCAUAUAUAGGCUGGGACACAAAACAAUGGAUGUACAUGAGCAAGGAAGAAGCUCUGGAUGCAGGGGAUGGAACAGAACAGAGACACGGACUCUGUCAACAGCGAUGCUCCCCAAGCGAGCAGAGGCAGAGCAGCGAAGCCCGCCUCGCAAUCUCCGCUACCCCCAUCGAAGUUGCCACACGCCACCGCAUCUCCCUCCACUCCGCUCCCACUCCCCCGCCACCGCCAUGGCCGCCGCCGCCGCAGCGCCCUCCCUCCUGCACCCACCGGCGGCCCGCAAGGCCCCCACACCUUCUCCCUCUCCUUACCCUUCCCCAUUCCUCCGCCUCCCGGCCCCCGCGCACCCGCGCCUCCCGCUCCGCCUCCGCUCCACCUCCCCGGCCGCCGCCUCCGACCUCACCGACUUCCCCAACCCGAACGGCAUCCUCGCGCCCAUCGACGUGGACGCCGCCACGGAGGCGGAGCUUCGCGAGAACGGGUUCCGGAGCACGCGCCGCACCAAGCUCGUCUGCACCGUGGGCCCGGUCACCUCGUCGCCCGAGCAGCUCGAGGCGCUCGCCGUCGGCGGGAUGAACGUCGCCCGCCUAAACAUGUGCCACGGGGACCGGGAGUGGCACCGGGGCGCCAUCCGGGCAGUCAGGAGGCUAAACGAGGAGAAGGGCUACGCCGUCGCCGUCAUGAUGGACACCGAGGGCAGCGAGAUCCACAUGGGGGACCUCGGCGGCGCCUCAUCGGCCAAGGCGGAGGUGAGGUGCUGUGCUUGUAUGUAAGCUGCUGUCCAGUUUUGGACUUGGCGUUGCAGUUUUCAGUUUUCAGAUUGAACGUAUUCCGUGAAAUGUGCUUGUGCAAUGUGGCAAUGUGGAUGAGAGGGGUGGUGGCAGUGGCAGUGUCAGGCAUUGCCGUUUCAUACUUCUGCAAAACCUAGCGAGUCAGGAUUUCACCAAAAUGUUUUUUUUCCAUCUUCGAAAUGGCUCAGUUGAUUUAGAUUUUCAGCUCAUGUUUGAAAUUGUUAUAGAAGGAAAAACAUUCAGAAUUUCAGAUUGUCAUCAAACACUGGAUUGUGAAAGUGGUAAUCAUUUUCAAGGCUUUCAAUCUUUCAAAAAAAUUUCAAGGCUUUCAGUAUCAGUGCAACUCAAAUAAAGUGCAUGGUAAACAUCACCAUGUUUUGGCUUUCUCUGCAUAUAAGACACGGUGCUGGAGUGGUUCGACGGCGCUGAGGUCCCAAUCCAACCAGUCAGGUUUUUUCAAGGUGUCGAGUUUGAGUGCUUACCUGCGUUGGCCCCAUUCCAACCGGGCGAGUCUUUAUUUAUUUUUCGUUUCUUUUCUUUUUUUGCCUAUGGCCUCCCAGGACCGUAGUCUUGUAUUUUCUAUUAUAUCAAUAGAAACUCGCACUAUCUUGUGCGGUUCGUUCAAAAAAAAGUGAUAGGCAUUGAGCUUCUGAAGGUCGUUGUCUAGAUAUUAGGCCCAAGCCUCAAUGGCUUUUUUUUCCCUGUUGCAAACCUUCCUGUAAGUAAAGGGCACACCAGUGCGAAAGCUCCCACACAAGGUGGGGUCUGGGGAAGGGAAUUCCUAGAUAGCCUUACCCUUGCAAAAUUCUUUUAAAUUUUUGCAAAGAGGUUGGUUCGAACCCAGGACCUCCGGGCCACAAGUGGAGAGUUUUACCACUGUGCCAGGUCCGCCCUUCUAGCAGAAUCUCUUAUGCUAGGUUUAAUUUGAAUUAGCUUUAUUAGUAGAAUGCUUGGCCCAUUUAUUGGUAAAUGGUAAAAUUCAUAAAGAUUAUCCUCAUUCCCUUAAUCAAUUUUAGGUGUUUAACUUGCAGCAAAUUCGAACAAUGACAGACAUGCAGCAUAUUGUUAGUUCAUCUGUAAGACUUGGCUUGCUGGUUUAAUGCUUUGUUAAAGGUUUGAAGUUAAUGUGUCUACUGGUAGCUAUUGAAUCUCUUUAUAGUUUAUUUAUAUCUUUUUUCUUUAUUAGUAUAAAGCCAUGUAGAAGUUUUCAGAAUACUGAAAUUUCUAGUGUUCGUUUUGUGGAGUCUCUGCACCUACAUCCUUUUUUGCAACUGCAUUUCAGAUCCUUCAGUUAUAGCAUGAAUAAUUUUUUAAAAAAGAAAAUUCUAGGUAGAUUCUUGCCCGUAGUUAAUGGUAGUGUCCGAUGAUAGUUGUGUUUUAGAUAAUACAUUAAUAUUAGUAAUCCAAAGAAACUAAACUACUUCCAUGAUGCUAAAUGUCAUCAGUGCUAGCUAGGGUCACUAUACCAAAAAGGAGAUUCUAUCACCAUUCGGCUGUUUAUCUUAAGUUUUUAACCAUACAGUUAGAAGUUUGAUUGUACACCUAUUCAAUAAUCCAAGGUUUUCUUGAGCCACGUUAUUUACCCAAUGACUUCCAUUUUUCUUGGCAUUAAAACCUUUCUGAAGUAAUUAACAAAUCAUGUCACAUUUGUUGGAUUCCACAGGAUGGAGAAGUCUGGACAUUUAGUGUUAGGUCAUUUGAAUUGCCUCUCCCAGAACGAACUAUUAAUGUGAAUUAUGACGGGUUUGCUGAAGGUAUGUAAGCUGACCUAUUUGUUGAUAUCUUUUGCUGUUAUUGUUCACUGCCAUAAUUUUGUCCUACACAGAUGUGAGAGUUGGUGAUGAGCUUCUUGUGGAUGGUGGAAUGGCUCGGUUUGAGGUGAUUGAGAAGUUGGGACCAGAUGUUAAGUGUCGCUGCACAGAUCCUGGUUUAUUGUUGCCACGUGUGAAUCUUACAUUCUGGCGUGAUGGCAGUAUUGUCCGUGAGAGGAAUGCUAUGCUUCCUACAAUUUCAUCAAAGGUAAAUGCACUAGCAUAAUAAAUUUCUUGCUGUAAUUACCAAAAGACCGCAAAACUUUGUUAAUCUAUGCCACCCCUUGGUACUAGUAUUGCAAUGGAUUUACAGCUUGGUUUUUUUUGUCAAUGCCAUGGUCAGUUCAAAACAACAUGUAUUAGUUCAAAGCCUUACAUUGUGCACUGAAACUCAUCUCUUGAUAGUUUUUAUCAGCUAUUUCUUAAGAAGGCUUCUACCACCUAGAGUUGUUUAACUGAAAAUUUAAUCUUCUAGUAGCAGAUACUAAUAUUAUAAGUUUAUAAUAAUGCUGCUCCUACCCCCGACGCAGCUUGCCGGAGGCCCUUGACGCAGCGCUGCCAUCCGCAAGCCCUAACGCCGCCGACGCGCCCCUCUCCUCGGUUGAUUUGGGAAGGCGCGGGACUGAGGCAGGGAGAUUGGGAAGCAGAGCUUCCUGUUCCUCGUCUGCUACUCUGCUUCAAUUGGGCACCGGGAAAAGCGAUGCUGCCGGGUGCUCGGGUUCUUGGAGAGGGGAUGGAAUGGAAUGAUGGAUCGAUGCGGGAUGCGUUGCUGUUGCUAGCGGCUUCUGAUUGGAGAGAGGAGAGAAGCUGGUUGCUUGUGUUACCGUGAACGUGAAGGAAAACAGAGUAGGGAGGAGAGCAAGCUGCUGGUGCAGGAGCAUCAUGGCUACGGCAAUGGCAGCGGUGCGGUUCGUUCCGUCAAAUCCCAGAUUUCGGCCACAUUUGAUUGAUGCGAUUUAAUUUGAUUCCUUAUUGGUCGCCAGCCACGCAUUCGAUUCAUGGACGCGCAGGCCCCGGUGGUGAUGCAAGCCACGGUGGUUCCUGCAUGACAAUAGGUUCUUGUUACAAGACAGUCAUCAGUCAUAUUGUGAAGAACUGAUGGCAGUUUUGAACACAAAUAUAGGAUUUCAUCACGAUACACUAGAGGUUUACAAUCAUCAACUACUGCAGGGGAAAAAAAUGGAGCUAGUAUUUUUGAAAAAUGGCCCGAUGUUGAAUCUGUGAUAAUGCAACUUAUGUAGCAGAGCAACCAUGGUAACACAAAAAUGUGCCAAGAGACUGACCUGAUCUUCUUCAGCCUCUCUCCAGGUCAUCCCCGAGCUUCAUGUCAAGAGCGUUGGAAACAACCUGGGAGAACCUACAUCCUUGUAAUCCUUCUUCAUGAUGAGGAAUCAGUCAGGGACCAUGAACUGGCGAGGGUUAGGAACCACAUUCUUGAGGCGCUCAAGCUCAUCUGGGGACACCUCACGAGCUCUGCACAAAAAUAUUAUCAUCAGAGCUAAACUUCAUGCAAUGGGGCAUUCUAGCUGUAGCAUACAACAACCUACUGGCCCAGUUUGUUAUUGCGGCACAUGGAAAAUUAGUGGGAAAGUGGUGCGAUGCACCCAUCUCAAAUCUCCAACUUCAAAAAACAUGAAUGCCAAAGACUUCUGCAUAGGCUGUCUUUAGAUGGCAGAUGUUUUUUAAAACACGUUUUCCAAUGGGCUUCACUCUCAAGUAGAUUCAGAAAAGCUAAUUGAUGAUCGGCACCAAGCCACAGAUGACUGCCACUAAUGAACAGUCAGUAGAUAAUUUCUGCAUUGUUGCCUAGAUUUCACCUGAGGAAAACCAAACUGAUUGAACAUCUCGCCACAAUUUCUUAGAUUAACUGAGCCCAUCACCUACGGGAAUGGAAGGAAAAAAAACCGAAAACUGUUACCAACAUUACAAUUUGUCAAAUAAUCUUCAUAUUCGAAUUCCCUAUACAAAAAUACCGCUUUGCCAGACUGGACCAGAAAGCAAACCAAACCUAAAUUCAGUAUAUUUAUACAUGUUGAAUCAUCUCUUGGUCACGUUUUCUUCAUUGAAAAGAAGUAAUGAGAAGAAACAUUCUUCAAAAAUUACUGAUCAAAACCAUAUUUUUAGUGUGCUACGAUUCUACAGCGACUUCAGUACAAUGGAAGCAUUGGUGCUACAACGAGCUUCUGAUAAAGUUAGGAGUGAUUUUAAUCCACUUUUCAACUUGGAAACCAAGUUGAAAACAAGUCUUCCUUUUUGUUAAUGUGUUGCCGUGAGAACAUAGAGUAUGAGCAGUUCAAACCGGUUACCUAAAUUAUGCUUGUGAUCCGUGCACUGUGAUGGUCAAACUUCUCCUUGUUAAAUGGCAAGCUGCUGUUGCCUUGGAUCCUAAGGUCGUGCUGUGAAUGGUAUUGUAACUGUUAAGGUAAAUCCUGUUCUCCAUUUGUGGCCAUGCAUGAGAAUUGAGAACUGGAGAUCAUUCUGAAUUUUUGCUCCUUACAGAUUGCUUUGUGUAUCCCUUGUGCGCCAAAUGGGACUGAAAUUCGUGGCGUGAUACGUCAUCGUGACCUUUUGAAUUUUAGUUGGCUUUGUUUUUGUUUUCGAGGAUUUAACUGUUGUGCCUCCGUCUUCCAUGUGGCGAAGAAAUUGACGCAGUGGGGUCGGGAUGGUGUUCAGCUGCUGUUUGCUGGUAGACUGUUUAUUUUGUUUGGGAGUAUAAAGGGGUGGAUCAUCCAUCAUAUCUAAGCAAUAUGAUUAGUGCAAAUCAUGAUGGUCAACGUCAGGUUUCGUUUUGGGCAACCAACCACAGGGUUUCUUUGAUGGUUUCGUAUUCAUUGUAAUCGCUGUCGUUGCUUGCUUCUUGCUGCCCACAUUCCUAUUCUCCCGUCGGCUCGACGGAGGAUUUUAUUUUAAGAAUGCAGAGAAAGAAACAUGCCUCCGUUUUCCAAGCAAAGCAUAUAUUCUUUCUGGAAGGUCAACGACAAGGCCCCGGCCGUUCCAAGCUUCUCGCUGGCCUAGCCGUCGCGUCCAUUCAAGCUCAGAGGCGACUGCCGUUCCGAGCUCUCCAAGGGCCCGCGCGAUGGGAAGCGGCGCGGUUCUUGACGGUGGUGUUGUUCCUCGCCGCGGGGGUCCUCUUCGCGCCCGAAUCGCUGGCGCCUCGGCGGCCACCGCAUGGGGCACCGGCCUCUGGGUCGCAUUCAUCGGCGGCACCAUCCUGUUCAGGUAAGCAAGCGCCGCCGCUGCCGCUUCGUCCGCCCCAAGAUCAGAUGGUUGGAAACAAGCGAGAGAUGGAUUCUGUCAUGUUUACUAAUAUACCAUUAUACCCAAGCCUAAAUGUGAUAUGCUGCUGCUGUCAUAGCAUUCACAUUCAAAUCCAAUUUCGUGCGCAGCAAUGCACGGCGCCCAUCCUAGGAAGAACUCUGAGGAAAAUGACAAGCCUCAUGAAUCUGUCCUUGGAAUCAUGCGAGUUUUAGUAAAUCAUUGGAAUCCACUGGAUCAUCAUCUUAAUCUGGCAACCAUUGGUCCGGAAAAAUCAUUCUAGUAAAUAUUCACCUUGACGAUCUGUUGGAAGGACAAGGACCACAAAAAUUAUGAAUUGGGAUUUAUGUGCUGUAUUGAGAGAGCCCGUAGGUGCUGGAUUUCUCUGGAAACGUUCUGAAAGUUCUGGUAGUGGUAGCACUGCUACAAUUUUACAAGCAUGUGGGGUUGUUCCUCUGUUUGUUGAUUAGGUAUUAUGUUUUGCAGUCUUAAAGUUCAGAAGGUAAUUACCCAGGUGUGCAAGUAUACCUUCAAGUUUUUUUUUAACAUAGUGUACAUAUUACCUUGUUAUAGUGAGAACAGAGAAGUCCACCGCAAAAGUAUAGCCUAGCAUAUAUUGUUCUUGCAAUAGACCAUGUGUGGAUAUGCCCCUUUGCAGGUCGAUUAUUCCAUUCAGAACAUAGCAUGGACCUCUAUAGUGUUUUGGAUAGAUUUUUUUUUAUUAUAAAGGUACUUGCCGAGGCACCAAUUUGGGAGUCUGCGGGGUAAAAUGUUCCCGGCGUAGUUCAUAUUGACAUCAGUGUGUUCAGCGAUAUCUGUGGCAGCAUUCGUAUACCUGCACCCCUGGAAGACAGCAUCAACCAUCGAGCGUUACCAGCAUGGAUUCCUUCUUUCGGCCCUUAUCUGUAACCUUUCAAACCUUCUGGUCAUCACACCCGAUCCUUACCUGCGCUGCCGCCGCACCGCCACCUCUCCCUCCCUGCGUCGCCGCCGCGCCGCCACCACUCCCUCCCUGCGUCACCGCCGGGACCCCGACGACCCCUCCCACCACUCCCUGCAACUGAAGAGGUAAUCCGACAGCGCCCCCUCCGGGCGCCGCCACGCCGACCCGCCUCCGGGUGCCCAAUUGAUACGCCCGGACCGCUCCUCCUCCGUCCGCUGCCCAACCGUGCCUCCUCCGGGCGCCCAACGCCGGCGCACCCCCUGUCCGGUUGCCCCUCCGCGCCAGCGCCCCCCUUCCCGGCCUUCUCUCCACCCCUCCCCCGGCCUCCCCUCCACGCCGGCGCGCUGGUAGACGGACGCCUCUGGCUACUUCUGUGCCGGCCGCGCCGCCGCCAAGCUCGCCCCUACGAAAACGGUAACCUCUUCCGCCCAUCUGCACAUCUCCAUGACAAUCCGUUUUUAUGCAUCCUUAUUGAGGCGGAUCUGGUGGUUCGAUUGCAUAGAGGAGGAUAAUGAUUAGUGGAUUUGCUUGAUUGGCAACAUAGUCCAUCAUUUAUUCUCCUGUUCUCCAUUAUCAGUAUUGUGAAAUUGCUUGACAGAUGGCUGGUCACUUGUUUUUUUUUAGUGAUUCCAAUGGUAAUCAUAUCAUACCAGACCUAGAUAGAAUAUAAUAUGAGAUGAUGUUGCAGACUGAGUCAUCUGAUUCUUGCAGUCUAAUUCUAGGAGUUUUAGGCAGUGGCAUGUGAAUAUUAUCAAUACUUCUGCUUCAGUUAACAUAUGCAACUUAUGGGCACUCACAUAGCAGGUUAUUUUUCUGUUGUUUUAACUAACAUGGCAUGACGUGAUGUUUUUGACUGUUUAACUAAUAGAAUCUUUAAGCUUUGAUUGGUACACUCAAACUUCAUUAUUGAGAUUGGUCGACUGUCAGUAUUGUGAAAUUGCUCAACAGAUGGGAUAUUGCUUGCAUUAAAAGAUUAGCUUCAGGAUAUUGCUUCGAUUGUAGAGGAUGAUAAAAGUAUUGAUUUUUCUUUCCUUGUUUUUUAGUCAUUCGUGCUUACUCUCUAGCAAUGGUUAAUUACAACACUGCAGGACUACUAGCUAGCGUAUUUAUCUAGGUUCUGAUAUAAAGCAUAUAACAUUGGAUCUGGGAUAAUAUGUUGGCUAUUUUGUGGCUGGCCCGGAAGCCCAGUGGUUGCUUUGCUUUGCUACCUGCUUUUGCAACUCUCUUCUUUUCUGAGCUCAUUCUUACACUUUAGCCUGCAGUCGAGUAUGUGUGUUAGCUAUUGAGCUGUUUUGCUUUGCUUAAUCAAAUGCUAUAUUACACCAUGUUUUCAAAUUUGUUCCCAUAGUUAUUUAGCUUAACCUCUAUCUCUGAAAUCAGGUACUUGAUAGGAUGAACUGUAGGGGUCUGAGGUCUUUUUUUAAUGAAGCAACAGGGGAGGACCCUACUGACAAAUUUCAGAGGAUAUAUAUCUGUACAGGUUGCAUGGCCAUGUAGUUCCAAAAGAAAAAAAAGGAGGAGAUUUAGAUCCCUCUCCACGAAAUAUUUUCAUGGUUGUCCAUAAAUAUUUGUUUUCUGUGCAUUAAGCUUUUCUGUUGUGCUAAUCUGAUUCAAGGAACCCAGAAUUGCAACUAUCUUAAAUUUUCUUUUUAUAUUCCAUUUUAUAUCAAUUCCAGGUACAUGCAUGAUUGGUAUGGCCAGGUUGAAUGCAAAUAUGUGGCAACACUGAAGUAGAACAAUCAUUAUGAAGCAUGUCAAGUAAGCAUGUUCUAACUUUUGGAAUGUAGCUUCAUGAAUUUGAUUCUUUGAUAUACUAUACAAGGUUGUAUUUGUUUGAUCUGUCACUUAAUUUGACAUUGGAGUUGUCCGGCCAACAAAUCCACAUGUGCCUCCGCCACAUGGACGCCCCCAAGGCCCGUACGUGAUCCCCAGGUCCCUUCCCUUCUGUUUGGUUGCAAACACUGACAGAGAACCAUUUGCAACUGAGCUCAUGACUAACUUAAUGUACCGUUGCUGCUUGCAGGUCACAGCUCAGAUGAGGCAAAGCGGAUAGCUUGAUUACUGGAUGCAGGAUUAGCAUCCACCAUGAGCCUGUGCACCUGGUCCAUCGUAAUUCUUUGAAUUUACUCUAUUGAAUGCAGGGUGUUCCUGAAAUUGCAAGAAUUAUGGCACCAGAUUGGUCGUCGAUGGACAGAAGGCAAUGCUGUGCUGCCAAUUAAGUUGCCUGGUGAUGUUUCUAACAUGCAUUCUGUACUAUCUGACAUUUUAGAUUUCAGGCUGCUAUCGUAUCUGGUUUGUGACUGUAUUUUCUACCAAUCAAGUUGCCAUCAAACUUAAAUAUUGAAGCCUCUGGUGGAUAUGAUGAUGAAUUGACUGUAGACUGUUGGCCCUUGGGCAUUGCAAAGAGAAGGAAAUAUCUGUUAAGAUAGCCAAAACCAUCAAGUUAGUCCAGAUCAUGCGCUACAAAAUUUCACUUCUUUUAUGAACUGCUGUAGUGUGUAAUAUAAAUAAUGCCAUCAAGUUAAUAUGUAUGUGCAAAAAAUCCCCUGACAGGAAAUUAUUAGGAAUUUAUAUUAGAAACAGGAAACAUGAAUGCUGAAGCAUGUUAGAACUGACAAAACACAAUCAGACAUAGGCAGGUUCUUGGGACUGCAUGAAGAGAGACUCAGAUUCCUAAGGAUUGUUCAAGUGCAUUCGAUGUGAUUUGCCGACGAAUGGAACAGAGGAUGGCCUAUGGCCAGAAUGAGCAGGUGAGGCUCCAUACUAUCUUACCGUAUGUCUUCCUCAUGUCUCAUGUGUUGCAUUGCAUGUAACUGUUAAAGUAUCUGUGCUACAGAUCUCACUUUAUUAAAUCAUGUGAGAUUAAACUUACAUUUAUAUUGUCAUUAAUAGAAAUCAACAGAAAAGAGGUACUGAUUGGAUUACUAAUUCAUUAUUUGUAGUUGCCUUAGUCAAGAAUAUAAAUUUGUCAGGGACAACUCAAAUACAGAAACACACUCAUGAUCCUUUGUAGUUUGCAGUAGAUUGCGAGUUUAAUGGUAAAUCUGGACUUGAACUUCUUUUCAGACUCUGUUCUACCACCGAAUUUCAUACUGCAUUACUUCAUGCUCGAAAAAUGGAUGAAAUCAAAUCGAUAGCCUUCCUCGGUUAACCAUUGCAGAGACACCGCUCUUGUAAUUCAGGACAUGGUACUGCUGCACGAAGUGGAGGUGGAAUACCCGGACGGUCGACCCAUCGAAAAGCACCAAGCGAUGCUACUGGAGUUCGGAAAGUUUGAAAAUGGCCAAUCCACCACUGCCAUGUCCCUCACCGUUGGUGUAGCAGCAGAAAUAGGGGCUCUGGUAGUAACCUUAACCACAGUUAUACUUGCAUGAGGAUAAAAGCAGAAACCCCAUGUAUAUUCAUUUACUCUUGCCCCAUGCCAUGUUGCAGCUCUUGCUCCAGAACAAGGUGCAGACGAAAGGAGUGAUUAGGCCUCUGGAACCUGAAAUCUACAUUCCAGGUGAGUGCAACGUGGACCAUGGUUUUCAUGCCUGUCCUUUGUGGAAUCACCGUGACAUGCAACAGUGCUGACUCGUGUGUUUGCGUGUGUGAAGCAUUGGAAAUCUUGGACUCGUCAGGCAUAAAGCUGACUGAGAGAGUGGAGAUUUGAAAAUUCGUGUGUACUCCCUCCGUCCCUGUCGUUUUCGCUUCCUGAGAAACAACUUUGACUAAAUAUAUAUAAAAAAUAUUAAUAUUUAUGAUACAAAAUUAAUACAAUUAGAUAGAUAUUUGAAUCUAGUUUUUUAAUAAAUUUAUUUGAAGAUACAAAUGGUGCACGUAUUUUCUACAAAUCCAGUCAAACUUGCGGCACGGAAACCAAAAGCGACAGUUAUUUAGGGACGGAGGGAGUAAGCAUUGGAGAUCUUGGAGUCGUCAGCCACCAAGCUGACUGAGAGAAUGUAGAUUUGAAAAUUCGAAGUUAAUAGUACAUAGAUAUACUAUAUGAUAAUAGCUGGGUACAUAUAUUCUGUACAUACUAUGUUCUGUCCUAAGAAAGGGUAGGAACUCCCAACAGUUUGUCGUCGUCGUUGUACAUAGAAUCUCAUAAUGUAUAACUUUCAAAGCUCUAAAAACAACAGGUCUUGUGUGCAACGAUGAUAGUCGGAUUAGUUAUACACCAUGUACUUUAGUGUGGCACUAAAUUAUGAAUAGGUUCUCUAUACUUAAAGCUUCUUAGACUAUGAUGUUCGUCAGCUCACUGGUGAUUGGAAAGGCGUCUUUAGAAAUUGCUACGCAAAACGAUUGGGAGUAUAGGGCAACCCUGCUUGCUUAUUCAAAUUGAUGUACCUAAGGGUGUAAAAUGUGAAGAUAUAUGGAAGUCUUGAUUGUGGAGAAAAAUUGUCAAUCAAAAUAGCAUCUUAUUUAUGAGGUGGGGCCUGAUUCGACUCAUGUCGAGCCCUCUCCUUUGCACCAACGAACAGAUCCAAUCGUUUAAAAUCAGGUCCAAGUUCACAUCUCUUUUGCCCUCCCACUCAGAGCACAAUCGGCCAGCGCGACGGGGAUGGCGACACAGCCACCGACGGCUGGAGCUCCCUCAAUGCUGCCAGCAGGUAAUUGACUAGCCUAUUACUAUUUGGAUGUGAUGCACAUUGGUCACGAAUUUGUAAAUCUAUCAGUUCCUGCUUCCUGCAUCCAUUUGUGCAGUUCUUGCGGUGGAUGCAGUGCACUGAGUAUAGAAAUUAUUUUUUAUUACUUCUGUGAAACGUUUUGGCCUUGGCAAGUAUGUACAGAUUUAGUUGUUGUUUUUUUAGUCAGAGGUGAGCUACGUGUAUGGGAAAGAAACACUUGAUUGCUUGUUCUAGAUCUUGCCUUCAUAUAAACUGUGAUGCUAUCAACAUGGAGAUUUGAUGCAUUCUACUCUCUCUCUAUUUCACAUGGAAAAGAACUCGUGUUUACUCAAUAAUGCUUAUGAAUUUUCCUUAGAGUUGCAUUUAUUCAUCAUCCUAAAGUAUUCCGUGUCAAGUAAACUCAUACUUCUAAUUUUUCAAAAAACAAUCUGAAAUCAAUGAACCCCUCCUUCCUUGUGAAAUUGUUGUACCUUUUUCCUUAUGACAUCUUAUCUACUUCCACUUUCCUGGUGCAGAAUUUUUGAAAGUAGGAAACGUAAGCAAUGACAGUGAGAGUCGCAGCAAUACUGAGCUCAAUAGGUGAACUAGACAAACCAUUCUGCUGUAGUUCAUUUUAUCACUGCAGUCAUCGUCGGACAAUGAGGUCAGAACCAGCAGGUUCGCAGAGUGACUUGUGACUUGUGGAUAAUCCUGCAGAUUCAACAAUGGUAAAGUAACGAAUGGUUAAGGUAUAAGUAGAUUUACUCAAUUAUACUCCAAUAGCUAAUGCAUUGCAUAUAUUGCUUGGCCGUGUAUAUAAAUAUUACAUCACUGUUCAACAUAAGUAAAUAGCUUGGUCCUUCAUAAUAAAGCAGUCCAUUUUGGUAAAAGCUAUAGUGCAAUUAGUUUUCUUGAUUUUCUUAAAAUUUUACUCAAAGUCUGUUCCUUAUGUUGUACAUUUGCCUCGCGGGCUGGCUAACUGACCUACAUGAGGCUGGCUAACUGAUCUGGAGGUUCACUAUCUAUGUUCUUUCAUUUCAUUGUCAAACAGAGAUAUUCUAAAUCUGAAAGUCUGUUGAAAUUGCCUAUGGAGUCUUGUGGUACCUUUAGUGUUUCUUAUCAUGUCCAGUAGGAGGUCUUGGAAAACAUAUUUGCCAUACAUGAUUUUUUUUAAAUCGAAAGUAGUAAUAUGCUGUGUAAUUGCCUUCUUGCCUCCUGACGUGUGGCAAAUUCAUUGAGCGUUUCCACUUACAUCGCUGGCAUAUUCAGAAAACAACGCAAAGAUGAUGGUUUUGGGUGAGAGGUCCUUUGGUCAAGGUAAUUUCAGAGCAUUGAUUUUCAAUGUACUUGUAAAGCCAAGAGAAAGUUGAGCAGGGCACAUUCAGUUGUUAACUGGACUGUUGGCUUGCUGCUAUGGAAACAUGUUUUCAGCCUUAUUACUUGCCGAGUUUACAUUGGGAUCUGAAAACUGGACAGCGUGCCAUUAGUUUUGUCUGUCUCCAGGACAUUGCCCAUGCACAUGAACUGACUGAUUACCAUGAAAAUUCACCUGUUUCAGUUCCAAACUAAUUAUUGCUUCAAGGUCACAAAGCUAUAUGAAAAUCUGUAUCCAAUUGAAUGCCAGAACUCUCUAGGAUGAUGUCAGGCAUUCCCAUUUAUAGGUUAACCUGAAGUGAUUCUUGAAGAUUAGUUUCUGUGUGGUUGAUUUGAACUGUUUGUCAUAUUGUAUGCUUCAUCUUGAUUACUAUCAAUUUCACAGGUCAUGUUCAUUGUGAGGAAUGGAGCGCAAUGCCUUGUGGUAACUCUGGGCAGACGAAAAUAGGCCACCUCUCCCAUUUUCUUGAUAUUUAUUUUCUGAUAUCUGACUAUUGUAUUUGUCGUGAAAUUUAAAUUGUAGACACUAACAGAUCAUGUGUCACUUCAUGCUUUGACCAUGUGAAAAAAAUUCAGUGUAUUUACCCAUGAUCGGUGCCUUGCCCCGAGUGGUCUUUAAUUCCUGAAUUAGGCAACGGUGAUUUUUCUUCUUAAUAUAUAGAUGCGCAGCUCUCCCGCGUGUUCGAGAAAAAUGAGGCAACGGUGACACAGCGCUCGUAGAAAGUAGAAAGUGAAGAAGCGGUUUGAGCAUAUUGCUGUUGACAGCUACCUCCGCAAGAUUUGGCCAGUAUCGUGAGCUGAGUUUCACAACCCUGAACCACUUGGUAAAAAACAGUCUGAAUUUUGCGUUGUGAGUAACUAACUAGACAUCCGAAUAAAUUAGUGUACUGAUAUUCUGAAAUUUGUUUUAGCACUGGGACUCUCUGGACUAUCCGGUGGAAUCAGGCCUUGGCAGGACUGAGGCAGAUGUGGGGGGUGACACCGUGCAGGUGAGGUGGUGGCGGUACCUGGCUCUGGCAUCUCCCUUUAUCCGCUUGAUGGAAUGGCAGCAUGGGUAUGGAGACACCAUCAGCAUCUAAACAAGGCCCAAAAGGUACAAAGAUAUGAUUUAAUCACUUUUGAUUUGUUUAUUUGCUAUCAUAUAAAUUGCAGGUCUUGAGUAAUAUGUCAAUGCUAUAAUUUUGCUUGCUUGUUGUGUGUCCUCUCUAAAAUCUUUUCUUUACCAUAUAUAUCCAUACGCACAAGAUAUUUGCAGUUACAAGUAUAAUCCUCAAGGAGUGAAAAGCUUGGGAUUCUGUUCGUGCAGGCAACAGGCAUUGAUUGCUAAUCAGCAUGGCCUCCACAAGUACCCAUCAUAGGAAGUGCAGCAACCAAUAUUGUGUUCAAACCUGAAGAAAAUAUAUGGGGAUGGCUGGGUGGCUGCACAGCUCAUGGCAGGGACCAAUUUGGAGUCUGCAUCUUCUUUCCCACAUAUAUAUGAUAUUUCCAUAUACUGUCAGGAUGCUAUUAAACUGCCUUCACCAGAUUACUAUAAACUGUGAACUUCGGAACUUUAAUUUUCGAUAAGUUGGAGUCGACGCUUAAAACUUCAGAGCUUUAUUUACUCCUAAGUACCAACAGCUCUAAAUUUUUGUGCACUGCACCCUUAGUUUUUAGUGAACAAUACUGACUGCUGAGGUUAUAAUGCAUCUUUCUAUGUGGGACUAAAGUUUUGUCAAGUAAGGCUAUGUACACAUUGAUAAAUCUGCUUCAGAAUAAUAUCGCUGAUACAUUGCAAUCUCACUAUCUGAACAAAAUCAGGUUUAUCAGUUAUUUAUAGUAGACUUGCUUGUUAGAAAGGACCUAAAUAGGUUUUCUUUGUCUAUGUGAAUUUUCGGGGAAUUCUGCUUAUCUUCCAUGGAUAGAUGCUACUUCUCCUGUAAUAUCGAAUUGGGUCAUGUGUGUGUCAGCUCUUUGCUAGCCAAAGGAGCUUGUGACUUGCAACUACUACUGCUUAUUCAAUGAUCUCUAAUAACUGAAUCAUUUUGUUCAGAUUCUAAUUACCAGGUCUUUUCUCAUCUCUUUAUGUUUUGAGGUGUUGGAUGAAAUAGGGUUAAUGGUGUUUGCUACCAUUCUACAAGAAAAUAGGGUUAAAAUAUUCUUGUAUUCCUCAGAUUAUUUGUGUCAUGCAAACUCCACUUUAGAAAAUUCCAUUCUAAAUGGUUGUGUGAGAUUAUGUACCAUUCUAAUAUGAUCUCAUGAGGGGAAUUAUUUAGCCUGUAGCAACGCACGGGCACGAUCCUAAUGGAAUUGAAAAGAAUAGAGAUCGCGAUGAACCACGAGAAUAUCUAGUGUUGGAACGCAAAGCGGAGGGCAAGUACCCAUACAAAAUCUAAUAACUCUGCAACAGCCAUCACUAGCAAGUUGUCAUACACUCAUUAUGGUCUUGGCCACGAGACAUGAGCAAGAGAUGCACAUCAUGAUCUAGGAAGCAGCAGCGCGCGGGUAUGGUCGCAUGGAACAGCCUCUUUGCCCGCGCCGGCCACCCCUUCCACUGCUGCUCAAAAGGUGCUCGACAAAAUGCCACUCCAGGACACUGCCCGCGCCGGCGCGCCUGGGCAGGAAAGAAAACAGGAAAAACUCUGAAAAGGGAGUAGUAAUGCACAGAAACUCACAUUGCUAUUCGAGUUGCCAUGAAACGUUGGGAUGGGUGUAAGUAACGGAUCAUAGAGACUGUCCAUUGUCAACUUGUCAUUAUUAAACAAAACUACUAUUAUUUUCCCUCCUGGCCUCGAGAUGCUAAUGGAUGGCCCAAAACUAAUGCAAGAUGCACAUGCUCUCACAUGGUUGAAGACACGCAGAUCAAGAUGCACAGAUCGAACACAUCUGGACGAACGUGGUUCUAUAUUGCUGUAGUGUAUGCAACCAAUUAAACACAUCCACUUGGCUCCUCCAAAGUCAACGCUCGAAGUCUCCAUUUUCCACAAAAGCAGCAGCUCAAACCAAGCGUCCAGCUUCUCUCUCUCCACCCAGCAACACUGUGUUUCCUGUGUCCUGUCACCUGUGCGUGUGUUUUUGGAUCUCCAGGCGUUGCCAUGGCUGAGGUACUGGCCACCAUGGUGGUCGGGCCACUGCUGUCCAUGGUGAAGGAAAAGGCCUCCAGCUACCUCCUGGACCAGUACAAGGUGAUGGAGGGGAUGGAGGAGCAGCACAAGCUCCUGAAGCGCAAGCUGCCGGCCGUCCUGGACGUCAUCGCCGACGCCGAGGAGCAGGCGGCAAAACACAGAGAAGGGGCGAAAGCUUGGCUGGAGGAGGUCCGGACGGUGGCCUACAAGGCGAAUGAUGUCCUCGACGAGUUCAAGUACGAGGCGCUUCGCCGCAAAGCCAAGGCGGAGGGCCACUACAAGGCGCUCGGCAUGGAUGUAAUAAAGCUCUUCCCUUCUCACAACCGUUUUGUGUUCCGUUAUAAGAUGGCAAACAGGCUCUGCAUGAUCUUGCAAGAAAUUGAUGUCCUCAUCGCAGAGAUGAAUGCAUUCAGGUUCAAAUUCAAACCGCAGCCGCAAAUGCUCAUGCAAUGGAGGCAGACGGAUGCUUGCAUCCCCACUGAGUCUGUGGACAUUGCCAGCAAAUCAAGAGCUCAAGAGACGAAGGAUCUUGUUCAUCAAUUGCUCGAGAGCAGUAAGGAUCGAUUGCUUGCUGGAGCCAGCAGUAAGGAUCUCAUGGUCCUUCCGAUAGUCGGAAUGGGGGGGUUGGGCAAGACCACCUUAGCACAGCUCGUUUACAAUGACACUGAAAUUAAGAAGCAUUUCGAGUUGCGGCUCUGGGUGUGUGUCUCUGAUGAUUUUGAUGUGGAUUCCCUGGCUAACAAAAUAGUGAAAGAGAAUGGUUGUGAAGCAAGUGGAAGUUCAUCAGCACUGGACAAUCUUCAAAAGGCAGUGAGUGGGAAGAGGUACCUCCUCGUAUUGGAUGAUGUGUGGAACCGUGAUGAGCCCAGCAAGUGGGAAAGGUUGAAGUCCUACCUUCAGCAUGGUGGCAGCGGUAGCUCAGUGCUGACAACAACUCGCGAUGAAGCUGUUGCUAAACUAAUGAUGGGUACAACUGAAGGAGCCUAUAAACUUGGAAGCUUGGAUGAAGAGUCCUUAGGGAAAAUUAUCAAGGCAAGAGCAUUCGGUUCAAAACAGCCUGGUGAACUAGUUAACAUGGUUGGUAAAGUUGCCAAGAGAUGUGCUGGUUCUCCUUUAGUUGCUACAGCAUUGGGCUCUUUACUGGGUACCAAGACCAGCAAGCAAGAAUGGGAGGAUGUACUAAAUGGAAGCACGAUUUGUGAUGAGGAAAAUGGGAUUUUACCAGUACUUAAACUAAGUUACAAUUGCUUGCCAUCAUACAUGCGGCAAUGCUUUGCUUUCUGUGCUAUGUUUCCCAAGGAUUAUGAGAUUGACGUGCAAAUGCUAAUCCACUUGUGGAUGGCCAAUGGUUUUAUCCCAGAGCAAUCAAAAGUGUGUCCUGAAACUUUUGGAGAAAGAAUUUUCAUUGAGCUCAAGUCAAGGUCAUUUUUUCAGGAUUUGAAGAAUGUCCCAUUUGAUGACAAAUAUUCUAUUUAUAAAAAUGGCAAUAAGCACAGGUAUUGUUCUAGAAUUACUUGUAAGAUCCAUGACCUUAUGCAUGAUGUUGCACAGUCUGCUAUGGGAGAAGAAUGUGCUGCAAUAGCUACACACCCAAGUGAAAAAGAGGAUGUUCUUCGUUCAGCUCGUCACUUGUAUUUGUCAAUCCGUCAACCACAAACUCUUCUGAAUGCUUCCCAAGAGAAAGGAUCUCCAGCUUUCCAAACACUGAUUUGUGACGGAUAUGUAGGAGAUUUGAAGAUUUUAUCAAAAUACAACUCUAUAAGAGCUUUAAAGAUCGUGUGUGGUUCAAUCUUAAGGCCGAAAUAUCUUCAUCACCUGAGGUAUCUUGAUCUCUCAGAAAGUUUCUUUGAAGCACUUCCUGAAGACAUUAGCAUCCUAUAUCAUCUGCAAACACUGAACCUUUCUUACUGUGACCGGCUUAAACGGCUUCCAAAGCAACUGAAGUAUCUGACUGGCCUCCGUCACCUCUACACUCACGGAUGUGGAAAGUUGAAAAGCAUGCCCCCAGAGCUCGGACGCCUAACUUCCCUACAGACGCUUACAUACUUUGUAGCAGGUGCCGAUGGCUCUGGUUGCAGUAAUUUGGGAGAGCUGCAGAAUUCGGACCUUGGUGGUACACUGAAGCUAAGCAAGCUAGAAAAUGUGACAGGAGCAGAUGCACAAGCAGAUGCAGAAGCAGCAGGUCUUGGAAAAAAGAAAAAACUGACCGAACUGGAGUUAUGUUGGACCGAUAGUGACCAGGAAGCACAGAAUAAUAAUCAUAAAGAGGUGGUGGAAGGUCUCAAACCUCAUGAUGAGUUGAAGGCUCUGAGGAUAAAUCACUGUGGGAGCAGAACUUUUCCAACGUGGAUGAAUACUUUGAAAGGCAUGGUGAACCUGAAAUUAUUCCAUUGCAAAAAGCUCGAAGAGCUUCCUGCACUCUGGGAGCUACCAGCUCUGCAAAUUCUUGGCCUGGAGGGUUUGGAGAGUUUACAUUGUUUGUGCAGCGGUGGUACUACACUCUGGGAGUUCACAUUUCCAAAACUGAAGGUGCUUACCUUGUUAGAAAUGGCAAAAUUUGAGGCAUGGUGGGAGACACAUGAGGUACAAGGAGAAGAGCCGAUAUUUCCCAAGGUUGAGGAGCUGGAGAUUAAGGAGUGUAAAAGUUUGACUGCAUUACCAAAAGCAGCGUCGGUGAUUACAGAAUUGUCUGGCGGAGUUAACACUAAGUGCCGCUCUGCAUUUCCAGCAUUAAGGAAAAUGACGCUAGGUGGGUUGAAUAUGUUUGAAAGAUGGGAGGCAGGCGAAGGAACUCCAGGAGAAGAGGUAACAUUUCCUCAGCUCGAGGAGCUGUCAAUCUGGUCUUGUGGCAGCCUGAGUGCAUUAUCAAAAGGGCCAUUAUUGGCUAAGCAACCAUUUGGCGGAGCUGAAACUGCAACCGUUUGUCAUUAUAUUAAGAAGAAAAUACCGUUUUGGUACAACGCACGCACACGGCCUACCAGCCGCUCUGCAUUUCCAGCACUGAGAAAACUAAGAUUAUCUGAUUUGUCGGCCCUUGAGAGGUGGGGGGCAGCCGAAGGAACUCCAGGAGAAGAGGUAACAUUUCCUCUGCUGGAAGAUUUGGAAAUUCGUGGCUGCCCGAAGUUGACUGAUCUACCUGAAGCACCCAAUCUAAGUGAAUUAUCCAUGAGAAAAGGUUGUUAUCAGCAGCAAAUAUCCCUACAGGCAGCUAGCAGAUUCAUCCCUUCAUUGUCCCGUCUGGGUCUGGAUGUGUCACCCGAUGACACAGAAACAACAUUACUGAAUGUCAAGAAGAAAUUGAAUGGUACACUCGCCUUGGCAGCUAUGGGGUUAGGUCGGUGCGACCUUUUUUUCUCCUCCCGCUCAAGCGCACUGGCGCUAUGGACAUGUUUUGCACAGCUAGUAGAUUUGGAGAUUCGGUAUUGCGAUGCUCUUGUCUACUGGCCAGAAAACGUGUUCCAGGUCCUGGUAUGCCUGAGGAACUUAAAGAUUUCCAGAUGCAUCAAACUGACAGGAUGCACACAAGCUUCUGAUGAGCAAUCUGCUCCAGCUUCACAACAUGGUGGACUCCUGCCAUGCCUGGAGUCUCUAGAGAUAGAAAAUUGUGAAUCUUUGGUAGAGGUCCCCAUCCUGCCGGCAUCUCUCAAGAAAUUAUAUAUUCGCAGCUGCAGUAGUAAUGUCGGGUCCAUCGUAUUUGGUCACCCGGAGGAUACGAGAUUGCUGAGUGCAGAAGGUGUUGUACGGCCGAAGACGUCAUCAUUAAUUCCAGGGUGCAACAGCAGUGAGGCCACAGCGUCUACAGCUGUACUGAAGCUGUCAUCUGCAGCCAACCAUCACUUCCUUCCAUUUCCAUGCCUAGAAUCUCUAUAUAUAGAUUAUUGCAGUGGCUUGUCAGAGGUUGCCAAUCUUCCUCCGUCUAUCAAGACCUUGUACAUUUGUGAGUGCGGCAAGCUUCAAUCCUUUUCAGGAGACCUCCGGUUGCUGGAAGAACUCACGCUUUGUCGAUGCAAAAGACUGGUAUCCUUACCGGAUGGGCCUCAAGCAUACUCAUCUCUUAGAGUUCUUCGGAUAAUACAGGAUGGUAUAAAGUUGCUUCCACCAAGCCUACAUAGCCGUUUGGGUUACCUCGAGGUUAAAAGACUAGAUGACCGUCACGAAGGUAAUCUCCAGUUUCUUUGUUUCUUUUAACAAAAUGAUCAGGAGCUUAAUUGUUGUUGCCUAAAAUGCAACUCUGUGCUUAAACAUUCUGUUACCUAUUACAAGAUGUGGUAGGAUUCAGUGAUAAAAAUUUAACGAGCGCAAUAUUUUGAACCUUUUUAGCCAAUUGUUGUUGAUAUAUACAUUAUAUCGAGUACAAUGCACCACUAAUACCUAUAUUUAUGUGCACUUGUGUCAGUUAAAUCCAUUAACUUUCAUAUAUUGCACAUACGGGGUAUCUAAACACUUACAGCUGGAUCAAGAAGUUUAUACACCAAUAUACACUUCACUUUACUGUAGUCAUCCUUGUAUAUCUCCUUUUUGUCCGUACAAAGAAUUUAACUAUAAGAUGAUCUUUGUGGUUCGCUUUUGAUACCUUGGUUGUAAACUUGUAUUUGCUAACUCGAAUCAUGUAAUAAAAUCAAUCAUUUUCCUUUAGUCGUAUUUAAAGCAGCAUGGCAUCAUGGAAUUAUUGCAGCCGAAUUCACUAGCUCCAAUUAAAGUGGCACUUGUCUUGGCGUUUCUCUGGAAAUUCAGUAGCUCCAUUGCAUACAGUUCAAGUAUGUGUAGUUUUGUUUUCAUGGCUUAUGCCUUUUGACAUAAAUAAUAAUUUUCUUUUGAAACAUUUACUAUUGGGUGCCACAGCAUAUUCUCCUGUGUAUAUAUACUUUCUAACAUCAUCUAUGAUCAUGGCCUGAUUGCCAGAACCAACCUGGAAACGUUCAAUCAGGAAGCUGGUGUGCUCGAAAUAGUAGAUCAAGGCCUGACCAAAGAAAAAGUUAUUCAAGGUAUUUUUGCAAAGAUAUCACUAAGGUUUUUAAUAUUAGUGUUCUUGAUGAUUGAUUUGAAAUGAUGCUAGCUCCUAAUGCUGACUUUCUAUGCGCUGUGACUUCCUUGUAGGAUCGUGCCAGAAACGAAGACCUUUAUUUUGAGCAGAAGCGAAGUUCUAGACUGCAAGCAGAAGAAUUUAGCAUACAGAGCUGCGGGCUCCAGUCUUUUAUCCUUAUUUUUAUUUCUUUUGAGCCAUGACGUGUUUGCAUUCGUGUCUGCUUCAGCCUCCAACACAAGCGAAACACAGGCAGCACUUUCAUUUUAUGAUUUGUUUAUCCACAUACAUGACCGACUGCCGUAGAGUAGACCAACAGUCCAACGUACUCAUGUAGCUCGACAAGCUAUCCAAGCUGCUGCUUUAUAUGAACUGAAAGUGCUGAAUUUUCUCCUGCAUCCUGGAAGGCUUUGGAUGGCACGGUCUUGUGCAGAGGUCUCAUUGUUGUUAACCUGUUUCUUCAAAACUGCAUGUACAGCAACAUUUUCUCCUGGCAGUGCUGCAAUGGAAUUGAAAAGAAUGGUGAUUCUUAUUAUAGUAUAAUUGUGAUGUAUAGGCUGGGACGCAAAGCGAUGAAUGUACAUGCAUGAGCAAGGAAGAAGGGGAUGGAACAGAACAGAGCAAGAACGAACUGCCAGAGCAAGAAGAUGAACGUUAUCUGUAUAGAUAAAAAAUUUUAAUAAAAAUUUUCAUGAGUUAUCCUUUGUCUGGGGCUACAGUACCAAUCCUGCAUUUCGAAUUUGGGACUGCCCUCCUUCAUGGUGUGAUCCAAAUUUCAACAAAAAUUAUCGUAGUGUGGCUACGGUUGUUUCAUACGAUAACUGUCAAUGACACGGUGGCACAUGCAGCUGCGCACGUAGGACAGAACCGCCAACUCACCCCGCCACGUCAACUCCUCUCAACAGCGAUGCUCCCCAAGCGAGCAGAGCAGCGAAGCCCGCCUCGAAAUCUCCGCCACCCCCAUCGAACUUGCCACACGCCACCACCACGGGAUCUCCCUCCACAGUCUCCGCUCCCACUCCCCCGCCACAGCCAUGGCCGCCGCCGCAGCAGCGCACUCCCUCCUGCACCCACCGGCGGCCCGCAAGGCCCCCACAAGUUCUUCCUCUCCUUCCCCUUCCCCAUUCCUCCGCCUCCCGGCCCCCGCGCGCCCGCGCCUCCCGCUACGCCUCCGCUCCACCUCCCCGGCCGCCGCCUCCGACCUCACCGACUUCCCCAACCCGAACGGCAUCCUCGCGCCCAUCGACGUGGACGCCGCCACGGAGGCGGAGCUUCGCGAGAACGGGUUCCGGAGCACGCGCCGCACCAAGCUCGUCUGCACCGUGGGCCCGGCCACCUCGUCGCCCGAGCAGCUCGAGGCGCUCUCCGUCGGCGGGAUGAACGUCGCCCGCCUCAACAUGUGCCACGGGGACCGGGAGUGGCACCGGGGCGUCAUCAGGGCAGUCAGGAGGCUCAACGAGGAGAAGGGCUACGCCGUCGCCGUCAUGAUGGACACCGAGGGCAGCGAGAUCCACAUGGGGGACCUCGGCGGCGCCUCAUCGGCCAAGGCGGAGGUGAGGUGCUGUGCUUGUAUGUAAGCUGCUGUCCAGUUUUGGACUUGGCGUUGCAGUUUUCAGUUUUCAGAUUGUACGCCUUCACUUGAACGUAUUCCGUGAAAUGUGCUUGUGCAAUGUGGAUGAGAGGAACGGGUGGUGGCAGUGGCAGUGUCAGGCAUUGCCGUUUCAUACUUCUGCAAAACCUAGCGAGUCAGGAUUUCACCAAAAUGUUUUUUUUCCAUCUUCAAAAUGGCUCAGUUGAUUUAGAUUUUCAGCUCAUGUUUGAAAUUGCUAUAGAAGGAGAAUCAUUCAGAAUUUCAGAUUGUCAUCAAACACUGGAUUGUGAAAGUGGUAAUCAUUUUCAAGGCUUUCAAUCUUUCAAAAAAAAAUCAAGGCUUUCAGUAUCAGUGCAACUCAAAUAAAGUGCAUGGUAAACAUCACCAUGUUUUGGCUUUCUCUGCAUAUAAGACAGGGUGCUGGAGUGGUUCGACCGCGUUGAGGUCCCAAUCCAACCGGUCGGGUUUUUUUCUAGGUGUCAAGUUUGAGUGCUUACCCGUAUUGACAUCCCAAUCCAACCGGGCGAGUCUUGUUUAUUUUUCGUUUCUUUUCCUUUUCCUGCCUAUGGCCUCCCAGGGCUGUAGUCUUGUAUUUUCUGCUAUAUCAAUACAAACUCGCACUAUCUUGUGCGGUUCGUUCAAAAAAAAAGUGAUAGGCAUUGAGGUUCUGAAGGUUGUUUUUUAGAUCUUAGGCCCAAGCCUCAAAUGGCUUUUUUCCCCCUGUUGCAAACCUUCCUUUAAGUAUUGCAUCUAGCACCGGGGAAAACACAGGAAUAUCUUUCAUUUCAGCAACAGAAUCUCUUAUAAAAAGGGCGUACCCAGUGCGAAAGCUCCCACACAAGGUGGGGUCUGGGGAAGGGAAUUCCUAGACAACCUUAUCCUUGCAAUAUUCUUUUAAAAUUCUGCAAAGAGGCUGGUUCGAACCCAGGACCUCCGGGCCACAAGUGGAGAGUUUAAUUUGAAUUAGCUUUAUUAGUAGAAUGCUUGGCCCAUUUAUUGGUAAAUGGUAAAAUUCAUAAAGAUUAUCCUUAUUCCGUUAAUCAAUUUUAGGUGUUUAACUUGCAGCAAAUUCGAACAAUGACAGACAUGCAGCAUAUUGUUAGUUCAUCUGUAAGACUUAGCUUGCUGGUUUAAUGCUUUGUUAAAGGUUUGAAGUUAAUGUGUCUACUGGUAGCUACUGAAUCUCUUUAUAGUUUAUUUAUAUCUUUUUUCUUUAUUAGUAUAAAGCCAUGUAGAAGUUUUCAGAAUACUGAAAUUUCUAGUGUUCGUUUUGUGGAGUCUCUCCACCUACAUCCUUUUUUACAACUGCAUUUCAGAUCCUUCAGUUAUAGCAUGAAUAUUUUUUAAAAAAGAAACUUCUAGGUAUAUUCUUGCCCGUAGUUAAUGUUAGUGUCUGAUGAUAGUUGUGUUUUAGAUAAUACAUUAAUAUUAGUAAUCCAAAGAAACUGAACUACUUCUAUGAUUCUAACUGUCAUCAGUGCUAGCUAGGGUCACUAUGCCAAAAGGAGAUUAUAUCACCAUUCGGCUGUUUAUCUUAAGUUUUUAACCAUACAGUCAGAAGUUUGAUUGUACACCUAUUCAAUAAUCCUAGGUUUUCUUGAGCCACGUUAUUUACCCAAUGACUUCCAUUUUUCUUGGAAUUAAAACAUUUCUGAAGUAACUAAUAAAUCAUCUCACAUUUGUUGGAUUCCACAGGAUGAAGAAGUCUGGACAUUUAGUGUUAGGUCAUUUGAAUUGCCUCUCCCAGAACGAACUAUUAAUGUGAUUAUGACGGGUUUGCUGAAGGUAUAUAAGCUGACCUAUUUGUUGAUAUCUUUCGCUGUUAUUGUUCACUGCCAUAAUUUUGCAUCAAAAUCCUACACAGAUGUGAGAGUUGGUGAUGAGCUUCUUGUGGAUGGUGGAAUGGCUCGGUUUGAGGUGAUUGAGAAGUUGGGACCAGAUGUUAAGUGUCGCUGCACGGAUCCUGGUUUAUUGUUGCCACGUGCGAAUCUUACAUUCUGGCGUGAUGGCAGUAUUGUCCGUGAGAGGAAUGCUAUGCUUCCUACAAUUUCAUCAAAGGUAAAUGCAGUAGCAUAAUAAAUUUCUUGCUGCAAUUACCAAAAGACCGCAAAACUUUGUUAAUCUAUGCCCCCCCUUGGUACUAGUAUUGCAAUGGAUUUACAGCUUGUUUUUUCUGUCAAUGCCAUGGUCAGUUCAAAACAACAUGUAUUAGUUCAAAGCCUUACAUUGUGCACUGAAACUCAUCUCUCGAUAGUUUUUGUCAGCUAUUUCUUAAGAAGGCUUCUACCACCUAGAGUUGUUUAACUGAAAAUUUAAUCUUCUAGUAGCAGAUACUAAUAUUUUAAGUUUAUAACAAUGCUGCUCCUUUUCUUGUGACAACUUGUGCAGGAUUGGCUUGACAUAGACUUUGGAAUUGCCGAAGGUGUAGAUUUCAUCGCUGUUUCAUUUGUCAAGUCAGCAGAAGUAAUUAAACAUUUUAAAAGCUACAUAGCUGCAAGGAGCCGUGGCAGGUACCAGGAGUAUAAUUCUGUACUGUUAUUUAAGUUUAUGCUUUCUUGGAAAAGCCAUAUUUGACAUUAUUAAACUGAUAACGGGUGUUCCUAGAACUGUUCUGCAUGCUUAGCCACUGUUUGUGGUUGGUUCCUGGUCAGUCCCAGAUGAUUACUCAUACUGGUAGGGUUUUAGUUGUAUUCUAACCCCCAAAAAAUCAGCCUGGAAUAUAUUGGUUUCUAUGUAGUUACUAGAGAAAACAGUGAAUCAACAAGAUAUCCCCUUUCUGGUGUUCCUCCUUUUCUAAAUAAUGCUGUGGAACAACAUGAUUCACGGAAGAAUAAUAAGAACUGUUUAAAAUUGUAUGGCUUGCCUCAACCUGGUGUCUUCUCUGUGCCAAAAAAACAACACUUGGUGUCAGGUGUCAUCUCAGCACCUACAAUUCAUCUGCAUGCACUAGAAAAAUUGUGUGUGUGUAGCUCCUGCCAAAAUUGCCAGUUUGCCAUUGUACGUCCAUCUCAUGUUUUGUGGCUAAAACUCAGUUAGUGACACAAAAAGUUACCUAGAUUAAAAUCGCUAAUCCCAAACCGCAAGUGAUAUCAAUCUUGCUAUGUUAUCUUUUAUACUUCAAUUAAUUGGGCCUUGCAAACAUCCAAAUCAGAAAGGAUUGCUAGUACCGUGUUUCUGAAAUGUUUCCUUCAUUUUGCUGAACUUUAUAGGUUCCUUACUCUAAUAAUGCUUUAUUUUAUAUGAUCAGUGAUAAGCAGUCAUUGCGAAAAUUGAGAGCAUUGACUCUUUAAAGAACCUGGAGGAGAUCAUCCGAGCAUCAGAUGGUGCCAUGGUAGCCACUCUGGAUAUGGGGGCACAGGUUCCCUUGGAGCAGGUCCCCUCAAUACAAUAAAAGAUAGUUCAACUGUGCAGGCAGCUCAACAAGCCAGUCAUUGUUGCUUCUCAGCUCCUUGAAUCAAUGGUCGAGUAUCCUACUCCCACAAGGGCCGAAGUUGCCGAUGUUUCUGAAGCUGUCCGCGCCAGCGUGCGGAUGCUCUAAUGCUUUCUGGUGAGUCAGCAAUGGGAAGAUAUCCAGAGAAGGCUCUUAGUGUUCUGAGGAGCGUUAGCCUCAGGAUUGAGAAGUGGUGGCGGGAGGAGAAGCGACAUGAGGCACUGGAACUUCAAGGUGUUUCAUCUUCAUUCUCUGACAAGAUAUCAGAAGAAAUCUGCAACUCGGCAGCUAAAAUGGGUAAGUACUGCCACCAUCGUAUUCAGUGCAUACCAUAGUUAUGUUGUCAUAGCAACUGAUAUAGCAGCUGACGCCAUCUUUGUUUUCACAAAGACUGGCCACAUGGCCUCCUUGCUCUCACAGUGCCGUCCUGACUGCCCAGUUUUCGCCUUCACAACAUCGACGUCCGUCAGGAGGCGGCUAAACCGUCAGUGGGGCCUCAUCCCAUUCCGCCUCAGCUUAGCAACUGAUAUAUUCAAUUGCUUUGCUGUCUCAUCUUCCUAUUAUUGUCCAUUAUCUUGGUUACUGACAGAACAUUUAGAUUCCAUUUUCUUAGAAGCUGUGUCUAAACAAAACCAAUUUCAUCUGCAGCUAACGGCCUGGGAGCUGACGCCGUCUUUGUUUUCACAAAGACUGGCCACAUGGCCUCCUUGCUCUCACGGUGCUGUCCUGACUGCCCAGUUUUCGCCUUCACAACGUCGACGUCCGUCAGGAGGCGGCUAAACCUUCAGUGGGGCCUCAUCCCAUUCCGCCUCAGCUUCUCAGACGACAUGGAGAGCAACCUGAACCGCACCUUCUCCCUGCUAAAGGCCAGGGGCAUGAUCCAGUCUGGCGACCUGGUGAUCGCCCUCUCUGACAUGCUGCAGUCCAUCCAGGUGAUGAACGUACCCUAAGAAAGAGCCUAAUCCUCUGUGGGAUGAUCAUAUGAGAUGGAAGAUGGACCAUGAACUUUAUCGGCACCUUGAAGGACAGUUCCUUGCACCAAAAUUAUUCGCUUUCACCCUGUAUUAGAUGCUGGGCAGGACUAGAGAACUGUGGCAAUAAUUUGCAGCUUUGUGCCCUGCUGUAAAACUGUUAUAUUACUAUUAGCUUUAUUUAUAGUCUGACCUUGGGGUGACUCUUUAAUGUGCAAGCUUUGGGUCUUGCUGUGGGCCGUAAUGGGCUUAUAAGUGAAGCGCAGGGAGAAGAGGAAGAACCCGCUGAAGAACAUGGCUGCUGUGCUCAAGCUCAACCCCUACCUCGGCACUGCCCGCAAGAUGGCUACCCUCGCUAAGGUUGCCCACAUCAAGGCAAGGAAGGAGAAGCUCGAAUCCAAGAGGACCAAGCUUAGCCCGGUAUGACCAUUUUUCUCCCUCCAUUUCAUUUCUGAUUAUGUCAAUAAUACCUGAAUUGAUCACUUAGAUUGCACAUGUAGUUCUGGUGUACUGUUUAUGACUUGUAGUGUUUGCUAUGGUACAUUUUCUGCCCCUUGUAUGAAUGGUUUAAUUUGUUUGAUGUAUCAUAAUUUGAGCAAAUUUCAUUGCUUGAAAGUAUUAGUACUGGAGUUCUGUGUGAAUAACAUGAUUCUGCUGUAGUGAUUCUUGUUGUUGUUUAGUUAUGUGCAUUGAUCUAAUGUUGUGCCAACAAAUAUUCUUGUAAUUGCGCGUUUGUGCUGUAUCAGUAUGCAUGGGUAAUCUAGUUUGUCAUUGUUUACUAUUUGCUCAGGGUGUUUCGGUACCCUUAAUUGCUUUUAGUAAGGCAUUUGUCUAUGUUCUGUUCCAUUUCUUUAUAUGCUAGUAGAUAUCUGAGCAAUUGUUUGUUCUACUCUUUUCUUAGAAAUGAUUUAUGGUACUGGAAGCUUCGGUAAUCUUUGCAUAUAUGGCAUAUGACAUGCCCUGGUAACUCAUGGGUCAGGGUUUAUCUUGAAUGUUUUAGUUCGAUCCCUCUUGUUGAUUUGUGUUCUGAAUUGGUAACUUGGGACUAUGCCUUGUUAGAAUGUGAUGAAUAGAUUGAUGUUUUACUAAGCGUUUUGAUUACAGAAUACUAGAAUGAAUGUUAUUACAUUAUCCAUGUUUCGAACUGAAUCCCAAAAUUUACUGAAUCCCUUCACAUCCAUAUAUCUCCUGAAUAUUUGUUUAACUGUAUAGUUUGAUAUGUUUACAUUGUUGUCAAGAUUCUUUGUUGCAUGCCCAUAUAUCUUCUGAACACUACAGAACUGACCAAUAUGUGAACUACUGUUGGUUUAAUGUAUCAGAUGCUGAUUAUUUCGUUCAGCUGUAUGCCCUUUUGUCAACAAACACGUACUGAACAAUAUCUGUAGAUCCAUUGUUGUAGGAGGAGGCUGCCAAGGUCAAGGCUGCUGGAAAGGCAUGGCACAGGACCAUGAUCUCAGACAGCGACUACACCGAGUUUGAGAACUUCUCAAAGUGGCUCGGCGUGACUCAGUGAGCGGGUGCUAUCUAGUUAAGUUUUGAGUAGUAGUGUGGCUGAACUUAUCUCGAGAGGGUUUAUCACUUUGUUUUAUCCUGCAUCAUCAUAAGAAUUCAAUCUGUGGGAUUUUAAGACAAGUCUUCCUUUUUGUUAAUGCGUUGCUGUGAAAUCAUUCUAGUAAAUAUUCACCUUGACGAUCUUUUGGAAGGACAGCGACCACAAAAAUUAUGAAUUGGGUAGAUGGAGGAUUUAUGUGCUGUAUUGAGAGAGCCCGUAGGUGCUAGAUUUCUCCGGAAACGUUCGAUUUAAGCUUGUAGAUAUUGUGAUGAAUCCCGUCACCAUUUUCCCAUGAAACAUUCUGAAAGUUCUGGUAGUGGUAUCCACUGCUGCAGUUUUACAAGCAUGUAGGGUUGUUCCUCUGUUUGUUGAUUAGGUAUUAUGUUUUGCACAGUCUUAAAGUUUAGAAGGUAAUUACCCAGGUGUUCAAGUAUACCUUCAAGUUUUUUUUUACACAGUGUACAUAUUACCUUGUUAUAGUGAGAACAGAGAAGUCCACCGCAAAAGUAAAGCCCAGCAUAUAUUGUUCUUGCAAUAGACCAUGUGUGUAUAUGCCCCUUUGUAGGUUGAUUAUUCCAUUCAGAACAUAGCAUGGACCUCUAUAGUGUUUUGGAUAAAUUUUUUUAUUAUAAAGGUACUUGCCGAGGCACCAAUUUGGGAGUCUGCGGGGUAAAAUGUUCCCGGCGUACUUCAUAUUGAUAUCAGUGUGUUCAGCGAUAUCUGUUGCAGCAUUUGCAUACCUGCAUGGAUUCCUUCUUUCGGCCCUUAUCUGUAACCUUUCAAACCUUCUGGUCAUCACACCUAUGAUGGUUGAAGUAAAAUACUUUGUUUGUGGCCUUGAGCUUUUUACUACCUCUCGUUUUGCAUUUGCCAGAUGCUAGUGUGCUAGUUAUACAGAAUAUCACAAAAUUAUAGUUUGAGUAUGUGAUAAUAUCGGUACUAAUGAAUGGAAUCUUACACUUUUGAUAUGCAAUUUUGAGAUUUACUUUGCUGAUGGUAGUAGAGGUAUGUAAAGCAAAAGAAAGUUACUUUUAAAUUAUUAGUUAUAUGGUUAUAUUUUAUAGGUCAGCGAUUUCUGAGUACUAGUCAUAGCAGCGCUCACAGGAAUAUACUGACUUGUUCUUUAUUUUAUUUUCAAGAAUUAAUACAGAUAGCAUAAAGCAGAAUCCAGUCCAUGAAUAGUUAGCGAUCUAGCAUCUGGAGGUGAAAAUCUAGCUUGGUUAGAACUUAGAAGCAUAGUUGUGGAUAAAAUUUGUGGGAAUCUAAUUUGACAAAACAAGUAGACAUGUCUGGCUGCAUAUAUGAACCUUUCAAACUGCAUCUUAUUGUUUCUGAGAUCUGAUUGGUGUUUUUUCCACAUUUGCAUUGUAGCACACAUCACUUGGAUAUUGUUUUAGAGAGCAAACUUGACAAUCGAGAUAUCUUGAUUGCUGAAAUCGAUGCUGACAAUGUUCUGUUAUUUGAGUAGGAUAGGGGUUAUACAUAAAAAAAAUAAGAAGAGAGAAUGUGCCUUGCAGGCUUGUACUUUGGUUGGUUGAGCAUUGCUCUUUGUAGUUUGCGCUUUAAUUUUCACCUGUGCCUAUUGAAUUGCUCUCUUUCACCUAGAUGAUGAUGAAGAGGUACAAGAUAGAAGGACCUCGUGAGGCCGGGUACUCCAAGAAUGAGGAGAUGGCCAAGAGGAACCCUGCCCUGGCGGCAAUCAGUCAGAAGUUCAGGAUGAUCCACGUGCUGUCGUCACUGGCCAGCCCCAUGUCCUUCGGCAGCCUGGCCAUCCACUCCUGAUACCUCCCCAGCAAGCUCGACCCGUGACUGCCUGACCGAGUGUUAGCUGGUGCCUGGUGAGUGGUGACCUACGAACUCUGAACUUAGCCUAGGUUUCUGUGGAGAAAAAAGAAGUCAUGUCUGUGCAAGAACAUUGGUCCUCGGGAUGAUAUGAUUAGCCUUUAAUAAUGUACAUAAUGCAGGAAGUUCGUUUCAUUUUGUAAUUUGUGUAUAGGAAAUGUGUCUGUGGCAAAUUCCUGAUAUUUUACAGUCAAGAAAUGCAGCUAAACAUGGUCUCUCGGCUCAUGGAGCUUGGGUACAAAGAAAUGACUAGGAUCUUCUGGAACUUUUAGAAUGCCUACUAUCUGAAAAAAAAAUAUUGGCCAGAGAUGACGAGUUUGGUAUGCAUUCCUGAACACUGGUUUCUCUUGUCUGGUGGUCCAAAACCAUAUGGCGUUCCUUCAUCUAGGCCAAAUCUAUUAUAUUCACUUUCUGAAGAUAAUAUCCAGUGAAGCCAAGCCGAAGUCUAGAAAACAAGUCCACAUUGCAAACUGAAGAAUUUAGCAUAUGGAACUCCAUGCUCUAGUCUUUCAUCCUUCUUCAAGCUGAAGUCCUUGAUUUUGAUCACAAAACAAGUCCCAGACUGCAAGUUGAAGAAUAUAUAGCAUAUUGAUCGAGCUCCAUGCUCCAGCUUUUUAUCCUUAUAUUUUCUUUUGAACUAUGGCGUGUUUGAACUCUGUGUCCGCUCCAGCGUAAGCAAAACACAUACACAGCUAGCACUUUCAUUUCAUGACGUGUUUGUCUACAUUACUGCAGAAGUACUUGCCAUAGAAUAGGUCAACAAUCCAACAUACUACUACUCAUGUUGUUGUUCGACAAGCUGUCUAAGCUGCUGCUUGAAUACGAACUGAAAGUGCUGAACUUUGUCCAUGUUAUGUUGGUAGUAUAUCUAAUACUGAACGGUGUGCAGGGUGAUCCUGCAAGGCUUUUAGAUAGCACGGUCUUGUGCAGAGGUUACGUCUGCUCUGUUUCUUCAAAGUUACGUCUGCUCUGUUUCUUCAAAGUUACGUCUUGCAAUUGCCGUAACAUUUCUGCUGGUAAUUCUGUAAUCUCUACUAUAAAAAAAGCAAAGAGGACACAAAAAUGCGGUCCGUCGUUUGGCCGCCGGGCGAUGUCCCUCGCUCCAGACAUUUUGGGCCGUCCGCUUGCAGCACCCUCCGCGCGCAGCCGUUGAUUUGGAGAUUCCGUGAGUUGCGGUGCACGCGCUUCCUCCUCUGUCCGUUUCCCUCCGCGCGGAUCCCUUCCUCCUGCGGUCCUGCCCAUGCGUCGCCAUCCGCCGCCGACGCAACUCCCUCAGUCGCGCCGCCUGCCGCCGCCGCCGCCACUCCCUCCGUCGCCGCAACUUCUCCCUCCCUGCGUCGCCAUCCGCCGCCGCCCCUCCCUUUCUUCACCUCCGCGCCGCCAGAAACCCCCGUCCCUGCCUGCGUCGCCAUCCGCCACCGCCCCUCCCUUUCCUCGCCUCCGCGCCGCCGGAAGCCACCGCCCCUCCCUUUCCUCGCCUCCGCGCCACCAGAAGUCACCGCCCCAUCUUGAGUCGCCUCAUCGCCGCAAGCGACUCCGCCCCUCCCUGAGUCGACGGAACACCAACAGUCGAGGCUACGCUGCACGCCAACUAGAUUUCUCAGUUCGUUGGGUUUGAUCACGGUACCUCUCAGUUUCUUAGUUUGUCGUGCAUCUGAACUUUGUGUGACGUUCAUGUUCUUGUCAUUUGAUUUGUUUGGUCGGUGUUCAUGUUCUUAGAAUCUGGUGCUACGUGACAUUAUAGGCGGUGUUGUGUUUUCUGAAUUGUCGGCGACUUGAAAAUUUGAGAUUCAGAUCGUGAUUUGUUUAGGUGGACAAUUAAAAUUUGAUGAUAUGUCCUUCCCGAGAGCGAAUUGCGCGCGCACAGCGGCGGCAAUGGCACCGCCGCGUUCGCACCUGCUGCCCGCCUUGCUCGUCCUGAAUUGUCGGCGACUUGAAAAUUUGAGAUUCAGAUCGUGAUUUGUUUAGGUGGACAAUUAAAAUUUGAUGAUAUGUCCUUCCCGAGAGCGAAACGUAUUAACUGUGGUAAUUGAGGAUGGUAGAGAUAAUUUACUCUGCAUGUAAACUGAGGACUGAGAUUCAAGAGUAAUCAUAGAACACGUAGACCACAUUGACUGGAAAAUUAGUCCUCUCCAAUUUUUGCUGAUCUGUCCCUGAUAGUACAUAAUUAUUUUGCCACUUUUUGUGCAAGCUUAUCGAUGUACGAAUUCAUAAUGGAAAGUAAGGAUUGCGAUAGUAGGGAUUGGGAUAUUUGUUAUGCUUAUCGAUGCUUAUGGCAAUGCUUCAUAAAAGUAGUAUACACCGCCGUGCACUUCGAAUUCAUGAUGGACAGUAGGGAUUGUGAUAUGUGAUAUGCUUAAGGCAAUGCUUCAUAAAAAGAGUAUGCACCUCCGAGCACUUCAAGUGUACUCUGAUGCACACACAAGCACACAGUUCUAGAUGGUUAAGCCGGUCUGUGAUUAGCAAGAUUUUCAUGAGAAUGGUAUCAGUUAUCAGACAUUCUGUGAUAUCUUGAAUGGAAAAAUAAAAUCAAAAAGGAAAGCACGAUAAAUAGAUAAUUUUUCUUGAAUUCUCCCAUAUUCAGAAAAUUGACUGACCGAGUGUGGAUAACUCCUUUUUUUUGUUACUUGGACCUCAGUUGGCCUUUAUAUUACUCUGAAUAUGUAAGAUUUCAAUAAACAGUAAAUUUGAGGAGGAUUUGCUAUCAUCUUUUGAAUCGUUCAUCCCGGUGGCAGAUUUCUUGAUUGCCUUAAUUGGGGCUGCCCCAGUUAAUGAGAACUAAAUAGCUCUCAUGAUGAAAACAAGUGUUAUUCAUAACAGCUACUUGUAGUGAUGGUGUCUGGCAGAGUACCUUGCUUAUCCAGUGCUUUCCUGUGACAUUCCAUUUUGCUUUUCUCUUGAAGGGUGUUUAUGUUCGUCGGGUUGUGCCUACUGCUCCAGCAAGCAGUGUUUUGUGAAAGGUAACAUGUAGUAAUUAGAUCCAGUUCACAUAUUGAAUACCUUUGGUUGUCCUCCAAUUUUUGCUGAUCUAUCCCACAUAAUUUUUCUUCUUUUUUCCACACAAUUUUUCUUCUUCUUGCCACAUAAUUUUUGCGGCUACCAUGUUUGACAAUAAAAAUUGGUAUACAGUCAUCUACAAAAAUCAUCCCCUGGAUACAAAUAGUACAUCCCCCUGGUACAAAUAGUACAUCCCCCUGGUUAGCAAUUUUGCAGAUGUAGAAGUACAGUUCCAUUACCGGUUAACCACUAUCUACGUUUUUAUUUUCACUAGGAGUUACAUUAAAAUAAUUCAUUCAUAUGUUCUGUAUAAAGGAAUAGACAAAAAUGGCACCACUUUGUUUUACCUAUGUACAAAUAACUGUCUGAUUGGAUAUUACAACAACAAACAAGAAAAGGCUUCAUGAUCAUUUGAAUUAGAACUACAACCUAAAAAAUAAAUGAUCUGUCCAGUUAUUAAUAUUCUGGUUUCAUACUGCAAAAUAGAAAAGUGAUUAAAACAAGUCCAAGUAAUCUGUCCUGCUGCACUUUCUUAUCUAUAAUCCUGAUGCCAAUUUGUUUCAUGUGCCUGGAAGUGAUGGGAGAAGGUGCAGGAGAAGGAUUUAGAAGUUCUUAAUUUGCAGGUGCAAUUUUUUUAUGUGACGCAUCUAUGUGACGCUUGACUUAUCUUAUUUCCAAAAUCUAACACUUCAUACUCGUGCUAAUGAUUAGAACCUGAUGAUUGGGAAGCUGAUGAGGAUGUCGAUCUCGAGACAGCUAAUGAAGAUUCCAACAAACCCGAUGUACCGGAUCCAAACGAUGCGGUUUAUGCCAAUGUCCCUGACGAGACACACAUGCUCAAGCUAGAGGAUAACUGCAAGCACUGCAAUGCAAAGAAGUUUGAGUCCGAGCCACCUGGAUUCUGUUGUCAUAGUGGAAAGAUUCAUCUUUCCACCCCUGAGACACCACCGGAACUCGUGAGACUGUGGUUGAGCUCGGACGCUGAUGCUAGGCAUUUCCGUGCAAACAUCAGAUAUUUCAAUGAACACUUCUCUUUCACUUCUCUGCACUGUAAACUUGAUCGUGUGACCACCGACAUGACAAACUGUGGAAUUUACACAUUUCGUGCCCAUGACCAAAUCUACCAUAACAUAUGAUCAUUUGGUAAAGAGGAUGGUCACGAACCUGGACACCUCGAGCUUUAUUUUUACGACGUCGAUCUGUCUCUUGAGCAUAGGCUCCGCAAGUGCCGUGAGAAGUCUGCCCAAUACAUGGCAUUAAUCCCUGCUUAGAGAAUCUUAGGAGUAUAGGCCAGGUUGACAACCUUGAGGAUUACUCUGUCGAGUUGAACCUUGACCAACGGCUAGACCAGAGAACAUAUAAUGUGCCAUUAACGUCGUUGCUGCCGUUUGGAUUGAGGGGAGCGAGCGUCGGGUCCAGUUCGAUAAUAGUGCUGUCCUCCAAAGGAAGGAUAGGUCGAUCCAUGGUAUUCGGCCCUAUCGUGUGUGCUACGAUGCUCUCUCAUACCUGCUAUUCUUUCCAAGAGGUGAGCUCGGGUGGCACAACUGCAUUCCAAAAGUUGGUGUGACUGAGGUUGAAGUAAAUAAAGCUCGAGCGAUCUGCAAGGCGCGUGCUGAUGGUGGUGGCGACAAUGAUGCUGGUAAAUUCAUAUGUCAUUAUAGUGUCUUACAAACAUUAGACAAAAUUUCCGCAUGUCGUCAAUCACGGCCGCCUUUUUUUGGUUCGUCGUUUGGCUUCGUUUGUCUGCCACGCCGCUCAGUUUUUCACAAGAACAGUCCGUCUCCCCGCCCACGUUCGCCGACAGACGCACCUCACCUCCUCCGUGCUGAACCCGGCCGCACCUCCUCCAUCCGCCCUCCGCCACUUAGCCAAGCCGUGCCUCACCUCCUCUGUCCUCCGAGCGCGGAACCACGCCUGCGCUUUCCCCGCCUGGCCGCACCUCCUACCUGCUACGCUCGGCCGCAGCUCCUCUGUUCGCCGCCAAGCCGGGCCACCUCCGUCCGCUGGGCGUCCAACACCGGCGCGCCACUGCCCAGCUACCCCUCCACACCCCUCCACACCGGCGCCAUCCCCGGCUGCUCCUCCAUGAAGGGAUCUCCAAGUUAGUCCCAUAUGCAGCGGAGGUGAGAAGAUGGAGGCACGAGAGGUGGGGCCUAUGUCGAGCCCGGUGUCAUCUGCCUUCAUGAAGGGAUCUCCAGGUUAGUCCCUUAUGCAUGCAAACAAAUCUAAUCAGCAGCCUCUCCUUUGCACCAACGAACAGAUCCAAUUGUUCUUGAAAAUCAGGUCCAAGUUCACAUCUCUUUUGCCCUCCCACUCAAAGCACAAUCAGCCAGCGCGACAGGGAUGGCGACACAGACACCGACGGCUGGAGCUCCCUCAAUGCUGCCAGGUAAUUGACUAGCCAAUUACUAUUUGGAUGUGAUGCACAUUGGUCACGGAUUUGUAAAUCUAUCAGUUCCUGCUUCCUGCAUCCAUUUGUGCAGUUCUUGUGGUGGAUGCAGUGCACUGAGUAUAGAAAUUAUUUUUGAUUACUUCUGUGAAACGUUUUGGCCUUGGCAAGUAUGUACAGAUUUAGUUGUUGUUUUUUCAGUCAGAGGUGAGCUACGUGUAUGGGAAAGAAACACUUGAUUGCUUGUUCUAGAUCUUGCCUUCAUAUAAACUGUGAUGCUAUCAACAUGGAGAUUUGAUGCUUUCUACUCUCUCUAUUUAACAUGGAAAAGAACUCGUGUUUACUCAAUAAUGCUUAUGAAUUUUCCUUAGAGUUGCAUUUAUUCAUCAUUCUAAAGUAUUCCGUGUCAAGUAAACUCAUACUUCUAAUUUUUCAAAAAAAAAAUCUGAAAUCAAUGAACCCCUCCUUCCUUGUGAAAUUGUUGUACCUUUUUCCUUAUGACAUCUUAUCUACUUCCACUUUCCUGGUGCAGAAUUUUUGAAAGUAGGAAACGUAAGCAAUGACAGUGACAGUCGCAGCAAUACUGAGCUCAAUAGGUGAACUAGACAAACCAUUCUGCUGUAGUUCAUUUUAUCACUGCAGUCAUCAUCAGACAAUGAGGUCAGAACCAGCAGGUUCGCAGAGUGACUUGUGACUUGUGGAUAAUCCUGCAGAUUCAACAAUGGUAAAGUAACGAAUGGUUAAGGUAUAAGUAGAUUUACUCAAUUAUACUCCAAUAGCUAAUGCAUUGCAUAUAUUGCUUGGCCGUGUAUAUAAAUAUUACAUCACUGUUCAACAUAAGUAAAUAGCUUAGUCCUUCUUAAGUCCAUUUUGGUAAAAGCUAUAGUUCAAUUAGUUUUCUUGAUUUUCUUAAAAUUUUACUCAGUUUGUGCCUUAUGUUGUACAUUUGCCUCACGGGCUGGCUAACUGACCUACAUGAGGCUGGCUAACUGAUCUGGAGGUUCACUAUCUAUGUUCUUUCAUUUCAUUGUCAAACAUAGAUAUUCUGAAUCUGAAAGUCUGUUGAAAUUUCCUAUGGAGUCUUGUGGUACCUUUAGUGUUUCUUAUCAUGUCCAGUAGAAGGUCUUGGAAAACAUAUUUGCAAUACAUGAUAUUUUUUAAAUCAAAAGUAGUAAUAUGCUGUGUAAUUGCCUUCUUGCCUCCUGACAUGUGGCAAAUUCAUUGAGCGUUUUCACUUACAUCGCUGGCAUAUUCAGUGAACAACGCAAAGAUGAUGGUUUUGAGUGAGCGGUCCUUUGGUCAAGGUAAUUUUAGAGCAUUGAUUUUCAAUGUACUUGUAAAGCCAAGAGAAAGUUGAGCAGGGCACAUUCAGUUGUUAACUGGACUGUUGGCUUGCUGCUAUGGAAACAUGUUUUCAGCCUUAUUACUUGCCGAGUUUACAUUGGGAUCUGAAAACUGGACUGUGUGCCAUUAGUUUUGUCUGUCUCCAGGACAUUGCCCAUGCACAUGAACUGACUGAUUACCAUGAAAAUUCACCUGUUUCAGUUCCAAACUAAUUAUUGCUUCAAGGUCACAAAGCUAUAUGAAAAUCUGUAUCCAAUUGAAUGCCAGAACUCUCUAGGAUGAUGUCAGGCAUUCCCAUUUAUAGGUUAACCUGAAGUGAUUCUUGAAGAUUAGUUUCUGCGUGGUUGAUUUGAAUUGUUUGUAAUAUUGUAUGCUUCAUCUUGAUUACUAUCAAUUUCACAGGUCAUGUUCAUUGUGAGGAAUGGAGCGCAAUAAUGCUUUGUGGUAACUCUGGGCAGACGAAAAUAGGCCACCUCUCCCAUUUUCUUGAUAUUUAUUUUCUGAUAUCUGACUAUUGUAUUUGUCGUGAAAUUUAAAUUGUAGACGCUAACAGAUCAUGUGUCACCUCAUGCUUUGAUCAUGUGAAAAAAUUCAGUGUAUUUACCCAUGAUCGGUGCCUUGCCCCGAGGGGUCUUUAAUUCCUGAAUUAGGCAACGGUGAAUUUUCUUCUUAAUAUAUAGAUGCACAGCUCUCCCGCAUGUUCGAGAAAAAUGAGGCAACAGUGACACAGCGCUGGUAGAAAGUAGAAAGUGAAGAAGCGGUUUGAGCAUAUUGCUACUGACAGCUACCUCCGCAAGAUUUGGCCGGUACUGCAAGCUCUGAGUUUCACAACUCUGAACCACUUGGUAAAAAACAGUCUGAAUUUUGUGUUGUGAUUAACUGACUAGACAUCCGAAUAAAUUAAUGUACUGAUAUUCUGAAAUUUGUUUUAGCACCGGGACUCUCUGGACUAUCCGGUGGAAUCAGGCCUUGGCAGGACUGAGGCAGAUGUGGGGGGUGACACCGUGCAGGUGAGGUGGUGGCGGUACCUGGCUCUGGCAUCUCCCUUUAUCCGCUUGAUGGAAUGGCAGCAUGGGUAUGGAGACACCAUCAGCAUCUAAACAAGGCCCAAAAGGUACAAAGAUAUGAUUUAAUCACUUUUGAUUUGUUUAUUUGCUAUCAUAUAAAUUGCAGUAACAGGUCUUGAGUAAUAUGUCAAUGCUAUAAUUUUGCUUGCUUGUUGUGUGUCCUCUCUAAAAUCUUUUCUUUACCAUAUAUAUCCAUAUGCACAAGAUAUUUGCAGUUACAAGUAUAAUCCUCAAGGAGUGAAAAGCUUGGGAUUCUGUUCGUGCAGGCAACAGGCAUUGAUCGCUAAUCAGCAUGGCCUCCACAAGUACCCAUCAUGGGAAGUGCAGCAAUCAGUAUUGUGUUCAAACCUGAAGAAAAUAUAUGGGGAUGGCUGGGUGGCUGCACAGCUCAUGGCAGGGACCAAUUUGGAGUCUGCAUCUUCUUUCCCACAUAUAUAUGAUAUUUCCAUAUAUUGUCAGGAUGCUAUUAAACUGCCUUCACCAGAUUACAAUAAACUAUGAACUUCAGAACUUUAAUUUUCGAUAAGUUGGAGUCGACGCUUAAAACUUCAGAGCUUUAUUUACUCCCAAGUACCAACAGCUCUAAAUUUUUGUGCACUGCACCCUUAGUUUUUUAGUGAACAAUACUGAUUGCUGAGGUUAUAAUGCAUCUUGCUAUGUGGGACUAUAGUUUUGUCAAGUAAGGCUAUGUACACAUUGAUAAAUCUGCUUCAGAAUAAUAUUGCUAAUAUCUCACUAUCUGAACAGAGUCAGGUUUAUCAGUUAUUUAUAGAAGACUUGCUUGUUAGAAAAGACCUAAAUAGGUUUUCUUUGUCUAUGUGAAUUUUCGGGGAAUUCUGCUUAUCUUCCACGGAUAGAUGCUACUUCUCCUGUAAUAUCGAAUUGGGUCAUGUGUGUGUGAGCUCUUUGCUUGCCAAAGGAGCUUGUGACUUGCAACUACUACUACUUAUUCAAUGAUCUCUAAUAACUGAAUCAUUUUGUUCAGAUUCUAAUUAUCAGGUCUUUUCCUCAUCUCUUUAUGUUUUGAGGUGUUGGAUGAGAAAGGGUUAAUGGUGGUUGCUACCAUUCUACAAGAAAUUAGAGCUUGCCAUUAUGAGUGCUGUAGUUGAAGUGGGGUUAAUGUUAAACCAUGAUGGUACCUAGGAGACUUCAUCCAUUUGAAUAUUCUACACUCAAGAAACAGAAAGGUGACAGUUGUCAAAUACAUAUUAUGAACCAGCUGAAAUUAAAAUAUUCUUGUAUUCCUCAGAUUAUUUGUGUCAUGCAAACUCCACUUUAGAAAAUUCCAUUCUAAAUUGUUGUUUGAGAUUAUGUACCAUUCUAAUAUGAUCUCAUGGGGAAUUAUUUAGCCCGUAGCAACGCACGGGCACGAUUCUAGUGGAAUUGAAAAGAAUAGAGAUCGCGUAUGACAAGAGUACUCUAGGUAAUAUUUCUUCAAAUACCGAUUCAACUCCCUCAUUUUCACUUCAAUAUUUUCACCAAUGGUAUAGAAAUAGAACUUGAUGAAGCAUGCAUGGCAUUAGCUAUUUCAUUAAGUAGCUCAUUUGAAUACCACGUCUCAUCGAGCAAAACAUCUCGAAUUGCUAGCAACAUCUUCAAGAAAAGGUGGGCUGUAGGAUGCCUCACUUAAAGCAUCAUGAAUGUCCUUUACUGCUUUGUUAUUCACACUAGCAUUGUCUAAUGUCAAGGUAAACAGCUGUUCAAUCAACUCCCACUUCAUCAACCACAACUUCUUGUCCUAGAUCCAUAUCACCUAGAUGACACAACUUCUUAGCCUUCGGCCUAGUAUCUUCCAAGUGAACAAAAGAGCCUGGAAUGUGAAUAAGAUCAACAAAUUUGAAUAGAAUACCAACUUGUUUUGGUUUACUGACUGCUUGUAUUUUUAAUACUACAAUGAGUAGGUUUGAAGAAAAUAUGAUUCUGAAUAUGAUGCAGUUGUUUUGGCUCACAGCUAACUGUAUUUUGUUCCCAUGAUAAAACAAUUCUGAUCAGAAAUCUUGUUUUUUCACUUCAGAUUAGAAGUAAUGUAAGAUGUCAGAUUAAUGGACGAUGAGGAGCAUAAGUUUUAGGCUUUGAGGACACGCAGUGCCCCUCCAAUUGCAUACUGAUACUGCUAAAACGAAAGGGGACUGAGGUGACUGGGAUAUCAUCAGUAUCAGAUAUACUAGCAGCUAUGUUCAUGAGCUUCUAUGUGGUGAAACAAGCUGGAGAUGACUAAGGUAUUGGAGCUUUUUUUCACAGAACAGUAGGACCAUUUUCACGAGAUUCAACUGCCUGAUCUUAACUGAAUGGUAAACAUAAGCAAUACCAGUAUGCAACCAACAAAAGAUCUUGCACUCCCAUCUUACAUUCUCUAAAACAGUAACAAUUCUAAGUUCACAGAUCUAGUGGUACUAAAAAGCUCAAUGAACGAAUUUAAUUUGCCAAUGCCAUCCUCCUGCCCUACAAAACCCAAAAACUCAAGCAGAUUGAAGCUGCAAAGGAGAGUUUAAAAAUAGCCAACACUAGCAGAAUACUGCACGAACUAGGCACAGCGCAGUAUAAACAAAAAGACAAAUAGGAAAGGCAAACACAUCAGAUGAAAAUCACCUGCACGCCGACGCCACCUGCGUCCGCUGCUGAGGCCGCCUGCUCUUGCUGGCCGCCGCGCGUCGGCCUAGCCGCACGCCCUGCCGGAGCCCGCCGGGGGCCGGCCCCACGGGAGCGCCUCGCGGCGGCGCGCCGCUCGCCCGUCCCGCCGGCCGCCGCCCGCCCGGAUCCCGCGCGGGCCCCGCCCACCCCCACACGAGCCUGGACAGGCCACACGAGCCUUGCGCCGCCCACCCCCGCACCGCCCGGAUCUUGAGUUCUUGCGCCGCCGCCGCCGCACGAGCCUGGAGAGGCCGUGAAAAAGAGGAGAGGCCCUUUCCUGCGAUCCACGGGCUCGGCCCUUCCAAUUGACUCAAGGAUCGAUUAUGGGCCACGUUCACAGGUCAGCCCUUUUAUGGAGAUGGCCCGAUCUGAUCCUGCCCAUUCUUCGGGAAGGCCUUUUAAGGCUCGGCCUAUAUGAGCUUCUAAGGCCCGAUCGGUUUGGCCCUUGGAUUUUUACAGCCCUUUACCAGGCUUAAGUAUAGGUAUAAGGUUUUCUACGUAUCUAAAAUAUUUUCCACUAGAAAAGGUUUUCUACGUAUGUAAAAUAUUUCCACUUGACUACCCGAUAAGGCAAUCAUUCGUGUGGCACAUGCCCGGGGCCUACUCGGAAAGUGAGUGCGCAUCCUCUCACAUGAUUGGACACAUCCACUUGACUCCUCAAAGGUCGUCAAUGCUUGCAGCUUGCAUUUUCCACAGAAGCAGCAGCUCUUGAACCCACUGUCCAGCAUCUCCCUCUCCACCCACCAACACUGUGUUUCCCUGUCUACUGCGCGUGUGUUUUGGAGCUCCCGGCGUAGCCAUGGCUGAGGUACUGGCCACCAUGGUGGUCGGGCCACUGCUGUCCAUGGUGAAGGAGAAGGCCUCCAGCUACCUCCUGGACCAGUACCAGGUGAUGGAGGGCAUGGAGGAGCAGCACGAGGUUCUCAAGCGCAAGCUGCUAGCCAUCCUCGACGUCAUCACCGACGCAGAGGAGCAGGCGGCGAAGCACAGAGAGGGGGCGAAAGCUUGGCUUGAGGCGGUCCGGAAGGUGGCCUACAAGGCGAAUGAUGUCCUCGACGAGUUCAAGUACGAGGCGCUUCGCCGCAAAGCCAAGGCGGAGGGCCACUACAAGGCGCUCGGCAUGGAUGUAAUAAAGCUCUUCCCUUCUCACAACCGUGUUGUGUUCCGUUAUAAGAUGGCAAAAAGGCUCUGCAUGAUCUUGCGAGAAAUUGAUGUCCUCGUCGCAGAGAUGAAUGCGUUCAGGUUCAAAUUCAAACCGCAGCCGCAAAUGCCCAUGCAAUGGAGGCAGACGGAUGCUUGCAUCCCCACUGAGUCUGUGGGCAUUGCCAGCAAAUCAAGAGCUCAAGAGACGAAGGUUCUUGUUGAUCGAUUGCUUGCUGGAGCCAGCAGUAAGGAUCUCAUGGUCCUUCCGAUAGUCGGAAUGGGGGGGUUGGGCAAGACCACCUUAGCGCAGCUCGUUUACAAUGACCCUGAAAUUCAGAAGCAUUUCGAGUUGCGGCUCUGGGUGUGUGUCUCUAAUGAUUUUGAUGUGGAUUCCCUGGCUAACAGAAUAGUGAAAGAGAAUGGUUGUCAAGCAAGUGGAAGUUCACGAGCACUGCAUAAUCUGAAAAAGGCAGUGAGUUGGAAGAGGUACCUCCUCGUAUUGGAUGAUGUGUGGAACCGUGAUGAGCCCAGCAAGUGGGAAAGGCUGAAGUCCUACCUUCUGCAUGGUGGCUGCGGUAGCUCAGUGCUGACAACAACUCGCGAUGAAGCUGUUGCUAAACUAAUGAUGGGUACAACUGAAGGAGCCUAUAAACUUGGAAGCUUGGAUGAAGAGUCCAUAGGGAAAAUUAUCAAGGCAAGAGCAUUCGGUUCAAAACAAGAAAAGGAAUGGCCUGGUGAACUAGUUGACAUGGUUGGUGAAGUUGCCCAGAGAUGUGCUGGUUCUCCUUUAGCUGCUACGGCAUUGGGCUCUUUACUGGGUACCAAGACCAACAAGAAAGAAUGGGAGGAUGUACUAAAUGGAAGGACGAUUUGUGAUGAGGAAAAUGGGAUUUUACCAGUACUUGAACUAAGUUACCAUUGCUUGCCAUCAUACAUGCGGCAAUGCUUUGCUUUCUGUGCUAUGUUUCCCAAGGAUUAUGAGAUUGACGUGCAAAUGCUAAUCCACUUGUGGGUGGCCAAUGGUUUUAUCCCGGAGCAAUCAGGAGUGUGUCCUGAAACUAUUGGAGAAAAUACAUUCAAUGAGCUGAAGUCAAGGUCAUUUUUUCAGGUUUUGAAGAAUGUCCCAUUUGAAAAAAUAUAUUCAUAUGAAGAGGGUUAUAAGGACAUGUCUUGUUCUAGAAUUACUUGUAAGAUCCAUCACCUUAUGCAUGAUGUUGCACAGUCUGUUGUGGGAAAAGAAUGUGCUGCAAUAGCUACACACCAAAGUGAAAGAGCGGAUGUUCUUCGUUCAGCUCGUCACUUGUAUUUGUCAAUCCGUCGACCAGAAACUCUUCUGAAUGCUUCCCAAGAGAAAGGAUCUCCAGCUUUUCAAACACUGAUUUGUGACGGAUAUGUACAAGGAGAUUUGAAGAUUUUAUCAAAAUACAACUCUAUAAGAGCUUUAAAGAUCGAUUGUGGUUCAAUCCUAAGGCCGAAAUAUCUUCAUCACCUGAGGUAUCUGGAUCUCUCGAGAAGUGGUAUUAGAGCACUUCCUAAAGACAUUAGCAUCCUAUAUUAUCUGCAAACACUGAACCUUUCUUACUGUGAGUGGCUUGAACGACUUCCAAAGCAACUGAAGUAUUUGACUGGCCUCCGUCACCUCUACACUCAUGGAUGUUGGGAGUUGAAAAGCAUGCCCCCAGAGCUCGGACGCCUAACUUCCCUACAGGCGCUUACAUACUUUGUAGCAGGUGCCGACGACUCCGGUUGCAGUAAUUUGGGAGAGCUGCAGAAUUUGGACCUUGGUGGUACACUGAAGCUAAGCAAGCUAGAAAAUGUGACAGGAGCAGAUGCACAAGCAGCAGGUCUUGGAAACAAGAAAAAACUGACCGAACUGGAGUUAUUUUGGACCGAUAGUGACCAGGAAGCACAGAAUAAUAAUCAUAAAGAGGUGGUGGAAGGUCUCAAACCUCAUGAUGAGUUGAAGGCUCUGAGGAUAAAUCACUGUAGGAGCAGAACUUUUCCAACGUGGAUGAAUACUUUGAAAGGCAUGGUGAACCUGAAAUUAUUCCAUUGCAAAAAGCUCGAAGAGCUUCCUGCACUCUGGGAGCUACCAGCUCUGCAAAUUCUUAGCCUGGAGGGUUUGGAGAGUUUACAUUGUUUGUGCAGCGGUGGUACUACACCCGUCAGAUUUCCAAAACUGAAGGUGCUUACCUUGUUAGAUAUGGCAAAAUUUGAGGCAUGGUGGGAGACAUAUGGGGUACAAGGAGAAGAGCCGAUAUUUCCUGAGGUUGAGAAGCUCGUGAUUGGGAGGUGUAAAAGUUUGACUGCAUUACCAAAAGCAGCGUCGGUGAUUACAGAAUUAUCUGGUAGAGUUGACACUAAGUGCCGCUCUGCAUUUCCAGCAUUGAGGAAAAUGACGCUAGGUGAGUUGACUGUGUUUGAAAGAUGGGAGGCAGCCGAAGGAACUCCAGGAGAAGAGGUAACAUUUCCUCUGCUGGAGUAUGUGGAAAUUUAUGGCUGCCCGAAGUUGACUGAUCUACCUGAAGCACCCAAGCUAAGUGAAUUAUCCAUAACAAAAGGACUUGGUCAACAACAACAACAAAUAUCCCUAGAGGCAGCUAGCAGAUGCAUCCCAUCAUUGUCCCGUCUGGAUCUGGAAGUGUCACCCGAUGACACAGAAACAACAUUGCUGCAUGUCAAGAAGAAAUUGAAUCGUACACUCGCCCUACCACAUAUGAGGUUAGGUUGGUGCGACGUUUUUUUCUCCUCCCGCUCAAGCGCACUGGCGCUAUGGACAUGUUUUGCACAUCUAGUAGAUUUGGAGAUUUGCGAUUGCGAUGCUCUUGUCUACUGGCCAGAAAACGUGUUCCAGGUCCUGGUAUGCCUGAGGAACUUAGUGAUCUCCAGAUGCAGCAAACUGACAGGACGCACACAAGCUUCUGAUGAGCAAUCUGCUCCAGCUCCAGAACGUGGUGGACUCCUGCCAUGCCUGGAGUCUCUAAAGAUAGAAGAAUGUGAAUCUCUGGCAUCUCUACAUAUGUGGAAUUGCAGUGGCUUGUCAGAGGUUGCCAAUCUUCCUCCGUCUAUCAAGAUCUUGUACAUUUCUAACUGCGGCAAGCUUCAAUCCUUAUCAGGUGACUGGUAUACUUAUCAGCUGGAAGAACUCACGCUUCGUAGAUGCGAAAGACUGGUAUCCUUACCGGAUGGGCCUCUAGCAUACUAUUUUCUUAGAGUUCUUUGGAUUGAAAAUUGUGAUGGUAUAAAGUUGCUCCCACCAAGUCUACAGAGCCGUUUGGGUUACCUCGUGGAGAAAGAUCUAGACGCCCGUCACGAAGGUAAUCUCCAGUUUCUCUGUUUCUUUUAACAAAAUGAUCAGGAGCUCAAUUGUUGUUGCCUAAAAUGCAACUCUGUGCUUAAACAUUAUUCUGUUAGCUAUUACAAGAUGCGGUAGGAUUCAGUGAUAAAAAUUUAACGAGCGCAGUAUUUAGAACCUUUAGCCAACUGAUGUUGAUAUAUACAUUAUAUCGAGUACAGUGCACUACUAGUACCUAUAUUUAUGUGCACUUGUAUCACUUAAAUCCAUUAACUUUCAUAUAUUGCACAUUCGGGGUAUCCAAACACUUACAGCUGGAUCAAGAAGUUUAUGCACCAAUAUACACUUCACUUUAUUGUAGUCAUCCUUGUAUAUCUCCUUUUUGUCCGUACAAAGAAUUUAUAGCUAUAAGAUGACCUUUGUUGUUCACUUUUGAUACCUUGGUUGUAAACUUGUAAUUGCUAACUCGAAUCAUGUAAUAAAAUCAAUCAUCUUCCUUUAGUUGUAUUUAAAGCAGCAUGGCAUCAUGGAAUUAUUGCAGCCGAAUUCACUAGCUCCAAUUAAAGUGGCACUUGUCCUAGCGUUUAUCUGGACAUUCACUAGCUCCAUUCUAUACAGUUCAAGUAUUUGUACUUUAUAAUUUCGUGUUGAUUUCCAUGCAUAUAUUCUAACAUCAUCUAUUUUUUUGAAAGGAAAAGGCACGAGAUUGUGCCUAUUUCAUUGAUAAAGAUGGGUUACAGCCGGCUAGCCGGUUAGAGAAAAGGAUACAGGAAAAGACAGAGAGGUCCCCCCCCGGUGAGACAUCUAUGGCAGGAUCGCCGCUAAGACUUUCGCCCCUGCUGUUAUCCACAUGUCAGGAUCGCCGCUAACAUCAUCUAUGAUCAUGACCUCAUUGCCAGAACCAACGAGCAGUAAACGUUCAAUCAGGAAGCUGGUGUGCUCGAAAUAGUAGAUCAAGGCCUGACCAAAGAAAGUCAUCUCCUAGGUAUUUUUUGCAAAGAUAUCACCAAGUCAUCUCCAAUGUAUCAUAUGCGCAUUCUGAAGAUAUUCUCCAGUAAAGUCAAGGCAAAGUCCUAGAUUUUGAGCAGAAAACAAGUCCUAGAUUGCAAGCUGAAGAAUUUAGCACACAGAGCUGCGUGCUCCAGUCUUUUAUCCUUCUUCGAACCGAAGACCUUUAUUUUGAGCAGAAACGAAGUCCCAGACUGCAAGCAGAAGAAUUUAGCAUACAGAGCUGCGGGCUCCAGUUUUUUAUCCUUUUUUUUUUUCUUUUGAGCCAUGACGUGUUUGCAUUCGUGUCUGGUUCAGCCUCCAGCACGAGCGAAACACAGGCAGCACUUUCAUUUUAUGAUUUGUCUAUCCACAUACAUGAAUGACUGCCAUAGAGUAGACCAACGGUCCAACGUACUCAUGUUGUUGCUCGACAAGCUGUCCAAGCUGCUGCUUUAUAUGAACUGAAAGUGCUGAAUUUUCUCCUGCAUCCUGGAAGGCUUUGGAUGGCACGGUCUUGUGCAGAGGUCUCAUUGUUGUUAACCUGUUUCUUCAAAACUGCAUGUGCAGCAACAUUUUCUCCUGGCAGUGCUGCAAUCGAAUUGAAAAGAAUGGUGAUUCUUAUUAUAGUAUAAUUGUUAUGUAUAAGCUGGGACGCAAAGCAAUGGAUGUACAUGAGCAAGGAAGAAGCUCCGGAUGCAGGGGAUGGAACAGAACAGAGACUCUGUCAACAGCGAUGCUCCCCAAGCGAGCAGAGGCAGAGCAGCGAAGCCCGCCUCGCAAUCUCCGCUACCCCCAUCGAAGUUGCCACACGCCACCGCAUCUCCCUCCACUCCGCUCCCACUCCCCCGCCACCCCCAUCGAAGUUGCCACUGCAUCUCCCUCCACAGUCUCCGCUCCCACUCCCCCGCCACCGCCAUGGCCGCCGCCGCAGCAGCGCACUCCCUCCUGCACCCACCGGCGGCCCGCAAGGCCCCCACAC
rnacentral:lncRNA from 1 species